UAGUAGGAGUGAUCAACAGAUCGAUCGAGCAGCUUGCUAGUGUUCUCAGUUGACAGUUGCUGGAGCUGUGCUUGCGUGUGCUAUAUUUGGUGUUUAGCUUCUCCGAUAUUAUAUUCUGCCUUCCUUCUCUUUGACUUUGUGUUUCGAGACUUGGGUUGCAAAUAGCUCUCGAUCGAUCGAUCCCCGCUUAAUAGAUAAAUAAAUGAAGAGUGCAAUUAAGCUGCUAUAUAUAUGUGUGUGUGUCAGAUUGUGUUUGAUACUUUGAUGCAGCUAGAACUAAUUUUUCAGGUUAUUUCAUGUGAUUCUUUGUUUCUUUAGCUGAUUUGGUGCUGUUUUACUUGAAAUUAGCCGGUCUACCAUUAGAUCUAUAGGUUAACGACCUUGUGUCCAGCUCCAGCAAUUCUGUAUGGUGAAUUAAAUUAUUUAUUAAUGAGUUGCAUUAAUCCAUAGCUAGCUUGAUUUUGCACGCAUAUAUCUUAUUUCUCAACAGUUCCAAAGAGAAUCACAUGAGUUUUUUUCCAGGUGUUGUGCCUAUUUUAUUUUAUAUAGAGAUAGGAAAAGGAGGAAAAGGGUCACAAUGUAUAUGCAUGAGAUUAAUGGAUGAUAAACGGGUCGAUCCAGUCCUAGUAUGAUAUACUCUCAUUAAUUGCACUGUGAUUUCCAAAUCUUUUCUUCCUUAGCAGAAAGAAAAAGUGGCUUUGCAAAAAAGAACAGAAUUAGUUUGAGUAUUUAUGUCUUUUAGUGAAACAUGAAGUGUGCCGUGUGCAUUACAUACCAUUUCCCAAGUUAACGAUGCUGCAUCACAUGUAUAUAUCGGAGAUAUGUAUAUUGGCAUCAUUGGAGUAAUUAAUGCAUUCUAUCUGGACUCUUUAUGCUAUAAUAGUGUCCUUGUUUCUAUAUAGGAAAUGAGAAGGACAAUGGGGCCAAAAAAUAUUUUUGAAACAAAAAAAAUCCAUAUUUUCAUGAAACAAAACCAUGUUUGCCAAACACAUUGUUACUCAAAACCAAUGUUUCAGUUUCACCUGCAUGGAUAUACAUUUAUAAUGUAGCGCACAACAUAGCAUCAGACACAAACAUAACUGUCCGAAUCCGAGUCGGAUUCGGAUGUCUAUUUCGGACAUCAGAGAUUUCCGCAUAUUAGAAGACAAUUGGACUUGGAUAUGUGUGUUGAAUCCAUCGCAGUCCGAGAGAUUGGGUAUGACUGAGUUUGACAUGACAAUUGUAAGUCGGACAUGGAUACAACUGUAAACAUCAGACUUAAUGAUAUUGCUUCACAAUGUAUAUAUAUGUGGGGGAUAUAUUAGCAUCACUAGAGUAAUUAAUGCACUCUAUUUUGACUUUAUAUAUGUUAUAGGAGUCUCAUUGUUUCUAUAUAGGAAAUCAGAAGAACAAAGGGGCCAAGAAAUAUUUUUGAAACAAAAAAAAAUCAUAUUUUCAUGAAACAAAACCAUGUAUGCCGAAUACAAUGUUACUCAAAACCAAUGUUACAUUUUCAGCUGCAUGGAUAUACAUUUAUAGUGCUAGUGCAUUGCACAACAUCAGACACAAACACAACUGUCCGAAUCGGACUCGGAUUCGGAUGUCUAAUUCGACCAUUAGAGAUCUCCGCGUAGCCGAAGACAAUCUGACAUGGAUAUGUGUGUUAAAUCUGUGGCAAUCCUAGAGGAUUGGGUAUGACUGAAAGGUUGACGUGACAAUUAUCAGUCUCACAUGGAUACAAGUGUAACCACCGGACUUAUAUUUAUUUGAUCAUCCGACUUAAUGUUUUUUUAGGGAAGAACCUACCUCAUAAAGCAUCUAUUGGUUAUAUAUAAAUUUAUCCCAUAUAGUUUUUUUGUAAUAAUUACCCAAGAAAAAUUAAGAAUUAUGUCACACUUGCAACUUAAAACAACACAAAAUAAAUAGUUGCUAGCUAUUACAGAAUACUGGUACAGAAAUGCUAGUUAGAGAAUACCCAUGUAACCGUCAACUACCAUUUCCUACACACUAAUCACGUCUAUAGCUAUAUAGUCCUAGUACCACCGAGUUGUGUCAAGCAUCGGGUGCCUUGCAUGGAUAUAAAAACAUAAACCACAGCCCAUGAUGAGGAGGAGGUCAACAUCACAGGCCUUCAUAGGUCCCUUGGAAACGUAAUUAGCUCGAUAAUUGCCAAAUAAAAGAGUGCAAGUUUUAGCAAAAAUGCCAAAUGAAGGCUUUAAUUUUGAAAAUUCAAAUUCAUACUUUGACUUUUCAAAAACUAUUUGAAAAUAGACAUAUAACAAAAGAGACAUUGUACAUGUGUGCAAAUUUUCCUGAUGAAAUAGGUUAAAAUGAGAGCUAAAUGAAAAACAAAUUUGUGGCUUUUCAGCACACGUAUUGUUCCUCCCCAUAAUCCAAUAUUUGUUUUGUGCAACUCACAAUUCAAGAUAUCUCAUCCCAAAAUUUUGCACAUGUAUACAUUACAUCCUUGUGUCCCUGGCCAUAUGUAAAUACAUGUCCAAUGCAAUGAUACCCAGACUAGUGCAACAUUCAUGCAGGAUUCCACAUUUUACAUGCCCAUGUUGAUGAGGGCCCAAUAUUAUAUAAGAUCACAUUGAAUAACCUAUAAGUGCACUAUUGUAAUAUUCCUAGUUUUGUUGAGAAUACAUCAACCCAUUAAAAAAAGAAGUACAAAAAUAUUCUGCAAUGAAAAAGAUUGUGUGCAUCAAUUGAUGCAGUAGCUGAGGGUGUACCUGCCUUUUCAAAAAGGAAAUACCAAAUGGGGGCAGAUUCUGUAUUAGGAAUCAAAUUUCAAUUCAUGUACCGUACCCGGAGUGUUACAAUUUUUUAUGUUUCCAAAAUAGUAUUUCUAGAAUGGCACCUAAAUCCAAAAAGGACCGCAACACUUGAAUGUGUCUCGAUACAAUAUAAUCUUCGUAUUUUUUUAAGGAUGUGUUUCUUCAUAGUGAUGUCAUUCAAAAGACACUGACACGUGCCACGGGGAGGAUGUGGUGAGACUGGGCACUCGGCACCGUAAGAAAAAUAGCCUAUUUGACAAUUGGACUAUUAUCUCGCUAGGCUCGACUCCCUCACAUUUAGUGAANNNNNNNNNNNNNNNNNNNNNNNNNNNNNNNNNNNNNNNNNNNNNNNNNNNNNNNNNNNNNNNNNNNNNNNNNNNNNNNNNNNNNNNNNNNNNNNNNNNNNNNNNNNNNNNNNNNNNNNNNNNNNNNNNNNNNNNNNNNNNNNNNNNNNNNNNNNNNNNNNNNNNNNNNNNNNNNNNNNNNNNNNNNNNNNNNNNNNNNNNNNNNNNNNNNNAAUCCUUGCACCUUGCCAGCAUACCAUUGGUGUUGAAGUUGUGUCGAAAGAUACAUGCCCUAAAGAUGGCAUUCAGACAUGUUGGACGAUGAACCAAAGACCAAGGUCGUUUUGCAAUAAAGCAUUAAAUACAUCAAGCAUUACAUGAUACUAUUUCAGAUCCUGGAAUGCUACUUUAUAAGAAGUAAUAGACGAAAUGGCUGAAAAAAUAUAAAUUGAAUUUUUCUGUUUGGCAUAAAAUAGCCCGAUAUUUCCCAUAGGUACUGUUCAUCUCAUGUGCAUUUUGUGCUGUAUCUACUAGGAUGGAAUUGAGUGCGAAACCGGGCUCAGGUGGCACGUACGGAGAAGAUGGCAUAGAUCGAUGGGAAGAUGCGGUCAAAGACACAAAAGACAAAACGAGUUGGUGUGGUGCUGGAGCCGAGGGUGAUGUUGCCGAGUGGGAAACAUGUGAUGUUCGACGCGUUUGGAGGGGAGUAGCGCAUGCAUGUUAGAGUUAAACGCAAUCCUAGAGUGGACGUGGGUGUCAUACAAAAGGGUACGAGGUAGGUCGCGGUCGGAGCUCGAAGUAGACCAGAUGAAAGGGCUCAAGAGGAAUGGGAUUCGCUGCCGGAGGCCUGUGUGUAGGCUAUUGUGUGGUAUAAACAUAUAAACAAUGUCAAUAAACAAUUUAUAUGGGAGGACACUAACUUUUUGAGUUUGAAGACCAAGACACCGAUACCCUUGUCCAUGAUAUCGCUAGUGGACCGAAUGAGACGCCCGACUUUGCCAUUUUGAAGGGAGGUGCGGGGCACACAAUGCAAAGAACUUAGACAUGGAGACCUCCAGGUCGUAGUCGUGGAAUUUUCGUCCAAAAGAACUCGUCUUGGUUACAUACAUAAAAUAAAAUAUUAUACACAUAUAUAUUUCUCAUGUUCUUGUGUGUGAGAAUAUUUCACGAUUUUUAAAAAAUUGUGCAUGUAUAGAAAAAAUGAGAAGGAAACAAAGAAGCAAAUGAAAAAAGAAAGGAAAAAGAAAACCAAACUUUAAUACCUUGAUAAAUAGAGAAUAAAAUUAAAUAAUAUUGAAUAAUAGAACCAUAAAACGUAAAAACCAUAGGAGAAAUAAAAGAAAAAGGGGAUCAUAUAUAAUGAAAAUGAAAAAAAUUAAAAAAAGAAUGGAAGAAAAGAGAACUAUUGUUACUGGGGCCCUGCUUAUACUAGAGGAGACGUCCCACGUCCGUCAAACAGCUACACCUUCACGCUAGUGCGAAACGUCUGGGCGGUCCAUGUAGCAACACUGUAGCUUUCGAUACACUUUAACUCUCCGGUUUUAAUUAGGGUUUUCCAAACAAUUUCUUAAAAUAUUAAUCUUCUUCCAAAAAACAAACAAUUUUCCAAAAAUGUAAACAUUUUUUGUAAUUUGAACAACUCCCAAAAGUAUCUACAAUUUUCUGAAAAUAUUUUAAACCUUUUUAAAAAUUAUUAUAUUUUAAAAAAAUAGUGUAUAUUAAAAAAGGUUCACCGUAUAUUGAAAAGAAAUCGACCAUAUACAAAAAAUUUGAUCAGUGUCUAUUCGAAAAUGUUCAUUAUAUCUCUAAAAAUGUUGAUCUUAUAUUAAUUUUUCAAUGUAUAUUACAUAAAUGUUAAGUGUAUAUUCAAAAAAUGUUCAUCAUAUAUUAAUGAUUCUUUUGUCAUGUAUGAAAUAUAUUGUUCCCAUGUAUUAAAAAUGUUGAAAAAUUAAAUAUUCACUGUUUUAUUUUGAAAAAAAUAUUUAACAUAUGUUGCAAAAAAAGUAUGAAAAUAAACAUAAAACCAAAAGAAAAACCAAAUCUCAAAAAUGAAAUAGAAAAAAUAAAAAGAACAAGAAAACUGAAACAAAAACCACACAUAAAAGAACAAAAAAAUACAGCCGAAAAACGACAGAAGAAAAAGGCAUUUCCGAUUGGAGGCUCGGCCAUUAGAAUCCACCAGGACAUCAAUAUCACGAAAUCUGACAGCCGAAAGCGCACAGGUCAAGAGAGGGUUAGGAGAGUGCUCAGUAUUGAUGUCCAUAAAAUAUAUUUGCAAAAUGCGAAACUAGCCCAUGGUUUUCGCAAAAUCAGGGGUGGAUUCUGUCCUCAAUAAGAAACUGAAAUUAUAGAGUUUUGUUUCCAUCUGAAAUUAUGAAGAACUGUACUGUGCUAAUUUUUUAGCCAAAUCUAUUUUCCUUUAUUUUUCUUUCACUUCAGAUGUUAGGGAUAUACCACCAUCAGAUAAGAUUAGGCUCACCCUUGACUAUCCUGGAAGAACCAACGUCAGAUUUAACAAAACCUUUUUGUUGUAUCCUUCCCUUCCUUGAUUAUUUUUUUGUUCCUUUUCCUAUCUUCAUUAAUUGUUAGGGCGCUGAGGUAGCCAAUACUGCUGCCUGGUUAUAUUGAAAGCUAGCGGUGCGGGUUCUCUUGAGAAAAAAAAUGGGAUCGGCUUUGUUGUACUUGAACUAAUUUUGCAGGUUUGAUUUUAGCCAAAUCUUUAUAAGUAUUACUUGUUGUCAACCCGUGCACUUGCACGGGCUAGUAUUUUUUUACAUAUUUACACAAACAAUCACAAAGCAAGUAUUAUAAAUUGGAAGUGAAAAUAUGUGCGAAUUAUAUUGGAGAAACUUUCAUGCAUGUUUAUUAUUUUGAACAAUGUGAUUCUUGCUCAAACAUAGGACUAAAAGGAAGUGUGUUCCUUCUAAUAGUUCCUUAUUCACAUUUUUUCUUAAAUUAGUGUCACAUUGAAUUGUAUGUUUACACAGGACGUACUAUUAUUACUAUAACAUAUUUCAAAAUAUACCUUUUUUCAUCGACAACAAAUCUCACACCUUCUCCAGACAACAAAAUNNNNNNNNNNNNNNNNNNNNNNNNNNNNNNNNNNNNNNNNNNNNNNNNNNNNNNNNNNNNNNNNNNNNNNNNNNNNNNNNNNNNNNNNNNNNNNNNNNNNNNNNNNNNNNNNNNNNNNNNNNNNNNNNNNNNNNNNNNNNNNNNNNNNNNNNNNNNNNNNNNNNNNNNNNNNNNNNNNNNNNNNNNNNNNNNNNNNNNNNNNNNNNNNNNNNNNNNNNNNNNNNNNNNNNNNUAUAUAUGGAGUUCAUAGAUACAUUAGCUCCCCGUUUUGAGCUAGAGACAUUAACAUUUUGUUCCCCAAAACAUGAUUCCUGCUCGCAUGUUGCUUCAUGUGGUUUCUGCAACCUUUCUAAGCAAAUGAUACAACAUCUUUUCUCGGGCUUUUCUGUCAUCGCCAUCACUUGGAGCUCGGUGCUUCAAUGGGCUAAUCUUAGCAAGGUCGUCCCCCAACAUGUUGUUCUGCACAGGGUCUGGUACUCUGGUGGCGGGAGGCAGGGAGACGGUUCAGGCCUCUAAGGAAAGUGCUCUAAACUCCCUUGUGCCACUGGUAGUUUGAAGAAUAUGGCGGGGGGAAUGGAAGGGUUUUUGAUGACUCUGCAUAUGCCGCUGCCACUACAAAGGAUCAUCAACCAAUUAAAAACUGAAGCUUGUUAAUGGGCUGUAACACCCCGGAUAUGAUUACCCAAUAUGUAAUCCAACUCUUGCCGUUUCCGGCGUUAAGUUAUUUUAUUUUUUCGGGUUCGGGUUUUUGUCUCCAUGUGUUGUUAUCGUUGUCAUGCAUCUUAUAUCAUAUCAUCAUGUGCAUUGCAUUUGCAUACAUGUUCAUCUCAUGCAUUCGAGCAUUUUCCCCGUUGUCCGUUUUGCAUUCCGGCGCUUCGUUCUCCUCCGGUGGUCAUUUCUACCUUUCUUUCGUGUGUGGGGUUUAAACAUUUCUGGAUUGAACCGAGACUUGCAAAGCGGCCUUGGUUUACUACCGGUAGACCGCCUGUCAAGUUUUGUACCAUUUGGACUUCGUUUGAUGCUCCAAUGGUUAACCGAGGGACCGAAAAGGCCUCGUGUGUGUUGCAGCCCAACACCCCUCCAAGUUGGACCAAAACUCACCAAAACCCUCUCCAUCAUCUAGAGCGUUCAAUCACGAUCGCGUGGCCGAAAACCGCACCUUAUUUGGACUCUCCUAGCUCCCUCUAUGCCUAUAUAUACACCUCCCCCUCCAAAAAUUCGCGGUGCAAACCUACCCUAACUCUCCCCGCCGCCGCCGGACAUCUUCGCCACCGACGGACACGUCUGGAUCCGCCGGCCUGCGCCAAUCAACGUCCGCGAUGUGGCGCCGCGCCCACAUCGCCUGUCCCCGCCGCCGCGCGGGCCGGGAGCCCGGAGCCGGCCCCCGCGGCCCGCUCCCUCGCGCCGCCNNNNNNNNNNNNNNNNNNNNNNNNNNNNNNNNNNNNNNNNNNNNNNNNNNNNNNNNNNNNNNNNNNNNNNNNNNNNNNNNNNNNNNNNNNNNNNNNNNNNNNNNNNNNNNNNNNNNNNNNNNNNNNNNNNNNNNNNNNNNNNNNNNNNNNNNNNNNNNNNNNNNNNNNNNNNNNNNNNNNNNNNNNNNNNNNNNNNNNNNNNNNNNNNNNNNNNNNNNNNNNNNNNNNNNNNNNNNNNNNNNNNNNNNNNNNNNNNNNNNNNNNNNNNNNNNNNNNNNNNNNNNNNNNNNNNNNNNNNNNNNNNNNNNNNNNNNNNNNNNNNNNNNNNNNNNNNNNNNNNNNNNNNNNNNNNNNNNNNNNNNNNNNNNNNNNNNNNNNNNNNNNNNNNNNNNNNNNNNNNNNNNNNNNNNNNNNNNNNNNNNNNNNNNNNNNNNNNNNNNNNNNNNNNNNNNNNNNNNNNNNNNNNNNNNNNNNNNNNNNNNNNNNNNNNNNNNNNNNNNNNNNNNNNNNNNNNNNNNNNNNNNNNNNNNNNNNNNNNNNNNNNNNNNNNNNNNNNNNNNNGCCGGACCGCGCCACCGUGCCUCCUCGUCCCCGGCCGAGUCGCGCCGCUCGCCGCCCGAGCCGCCCGCCAUCACCGCCCGGAUCCGGUGUCUUCUCUCUCCGGCGACCGCGGCAAGUCCGGCCACCGCGUCGUCAAUUUCCGGCGAACCUCGAGACUCGUGCUGCUACAGUGCCCAGAUCUAGAUCCGGUUGAUUUUUUGCCUGAAACCUUAAUUAUUUGGCAUUGUUCAUCGCAUCGUACCUCCACAUCCGUAGCCCCGUUUUGGGCAUAUAGCAUAUCAAAAUGUUCGUCUCAGAGAGCACAUCAUUUCAUGCCAUUGCAUCAUUUUCAUUUAAGUUCAUCUUGAUGCCCGAAAUGCUUUUGGAAGAGUGCUAUUUGAGAUAAUUGUCAGAUCUGCUGCUCCAAUUAGAUAUUUGUCAUUUUGCCAUGAUUAUUAUGUGCAUGAUAUGCCCCUGAGCUCUUUAUGAGUUUUGUUAUAUGUUUUGCCAUCUAUCCAGAGGUGCAAUCCAUGUAUUUUUGUGAUGUGUGUGGUGACUAGCACAAGCUUGCAAAAUGGAGCAUUCAUUAAUGCUGAUUUCAGGGACUUAGCAUUUCCACUAAGUCCUUGAACUGUUUAUCUCAGUAUGCCAUAUGUUCAUGUUGUUUCCUAGUGAUCCGUGCCUCUUUUGAGGAUGAUCAGUAAGGAUGUUUUGUUAAUCUUGUAGUGCUCUAUCCAUCCGUGUCUUUGUUUGCAAUUAUGGAGCAUCCUAGCUUGAGUCAAUCGAGCUCUACUUUUGUCAUUUCGUGAAUCUGGGCAGAUUGUCUACUUGUUAGCGAUUUUGCCGAGGAUGUUGUAGUUGAUCCGUGCAUGCUAUGUUAUUGUUCUUGGCAUGUCUAGCUUGUAUUUUGUGUGUUCUUGAUGGGUGUAUGCUUAGUUUGUCAUGAGUUGCUCUGUAGUGAGUGCAUCGAGCUCGUAAACAUGCCUACUUGAUAUCUGUUUCAGCAUGCUCCAGAUUUCACUAAGUCUGAGAACUGAUUAUGUUUUUGCCAUGUUCACAUGCUUGCAAAUGUAUUUUAUGAUCCCUUUUGGCUCAAGACCACUAAGGGACUUUUGUUAAGCUCCUUGAGUAUCUCCAUGCCAUGCUUUACUUUGCCAUGUUCAGCUCCUGUAGCAUAUAAUUUUCAUGCUCCAAAGAGUGCUAUCUGAUCUGAAAUUCUAGACAAGUGUUAAUUUCACCAAGUCCGAAAUCUGUUUGCCAAAUGCAUUUUUGCGAUGCUUCUUUGAACCUGUUAAUGGAUGAAUUGGCCGUAGCUCAGUGUUCCUCUUUUGUUAAGCAUCAUGAAUGGAUCCCUGCCAUGUAUUUUGAUGCCAUGUUUGGGUGCUGUAGCAUGUUCAUCUUGUUGCAUUUAGAUGGCUACUUGCUGUAAAUCACAGAACGUGGUCAUAUUUGAAUUGCUUGCCAUUUCCAAACCGUAACUCCGAUUCCGGCGUUCUUUAUAUCGUUUUCAAGCGAUUUCAUCUCACCUUUCCAGUGGCAGACUUGGAUUUCAAAGUUGUGGCCAGGUUCAUGCAUUCCUUGUCAAAUCUUGCAUAUGCAUAGCAUAUCGCAUCCCGCAUAGCAUACCAUCUUUGCGUCAUAUUGUUUGAGCUUUGCACAUGGUUGAUUGCGUUCCGUUUGCUUGUUUGUCUUGAUUGGGUAGAGCCGGGAGACGAGUUCUCUAACGAGGAGCCCAUUGAGUUGGCUUUCGAGGAUCCAGUCAACUCUGACAACUUUGCAGCCAAGAUGAUCAUACCCUCGAAAUCACUACUAUCUUUGCUUUGCUAGAUGCUCACUCUUUUGCUAUGCCUAUGCUACGAUGCCUACCACUUGCUUAUAAUGCCUCCCAAAUUGCCAUGUCAAACCUCUAACCCACCAUGUCCUAGCAGACCGUUGAUUGGCUAUGUUACCGCUUUGCUCAGCCCCUCUUAUAGCGUUGCUAGUUGCAGGUGAAGAUUGGAGACCGUUCCUUGUUGGAACAUUAUUUACUUGUUGGGAUAUCAUUAUAUUGCCUUGUUAUCUUAAUGCAUCUAUAUACUUGGUAAAGGGUGGAAGGCUCGGCCUCUCGCCUAGUGUUUUGUUCCACUCUUGCCGCCCUAGUUUCCGUCAUAUCGGUGUUAUGUACCCGGGUUUUUGCGUUCCUUACGUGGUUGGGUGAUAAAGGGAACCCCGUGAUAGUUCGCCUUGAUUAAAGCUUUUCCAGCAAUGCCCAACCUUGGUUUUACCAUUUGCCACCUAGCCUCUUUUUCCCUUGGGUUUCCGGAGCCCGAGGGUCAUCCUAUUUUAAACCCCCCCCCGGGCCAGUGCUCCUCUAAGUGUUGGUCCACCUCGUCAGCCGCUGGUGUCCACCAGGGGCAACUCUGGGCUGGCCUACCGGAAGUUUAGUUAAUCUGAGUGUGCCCUGAGAACGAGAUAUGUGCAGCUCCUAUCAGGAUUUGUCGGUACAUUUGGGCGGUGUUGCUGGAUUGGUUUUAACUUGUCAAAGUGUCUUGUAGAACCGGGAUACCGAGUCUAAUCGGAAUGUCUCGGGAGGAGGUCUAUUCCUUCGUUGACCAUGAGAGCUUGUCAUGGGCUAAGUUGGGACUCCCCUGCAGGGAUUUGAACUUUCGAAAGCCGUCCCGCGGUUAUGGGCAGAUGGGAAUUUGUUAAUGUCCGGUUGUAGAUAACUUGAACCUUAACUUAAUUAAAAUGAAUCAACUGUGUGAGUUACCGUGAUGGUCUCUUCUAGGCGGAGUCCAGGAAGUGAACACGGUGUUGGAGUAAUGCUUGCCGCAGGAUGCCCCCUAGUUAUUCGUUCGCGCUUUGCCUUCUCUUCUCGCUCUCUUUUGCGAACAGGUUAGCCACCAUAUAUGCUAGUCGCUUGCUGCAGCUCCACAUAAUUACCUUGCUUUACCUAUAAGCUUAAAUAGUCUUGAUCGCGAGGGUGCGGGAUUGCUGAGUCCCUGUGGCUCACAGAUUACUUCCAAACCAGAUGCAGGGCCUGAUGAUUCCGUUCCAGAUGACGCGCUUGAGCUCAAGUGGGAGUUCGACGAGGACUCACGUCGUUACUAUGUGUCUUUCCAUGAUGAUCAGUAGUGGUGCCCAGUUGGGGGUGAUCGGGACCGUGUCGCAUGUUGGGUUUAUCUUUUAUUUUGGCGCCGUAGUCGGGCCAUGAGUGUUUGAUUGUUGUAAUGCUAUUUAUGUACUUUGUUUGACGUGGCGAGUGUAAGCCAACUAUGUAUCUCCCCUUUUAUUAUCUAUAUUACAUGGGAUGUUGUGAAGAUUGCCUAACUUGCGACAUUGCUUUCAAUGCGGUUAUGCCUCUAAGUCAUGCCUCGACACGUGGGAGCUAUAGCCGCAUCGAGGGCGUGACAGCUACCGAGCCAAAUUUGGGAGGCAUGAUAAGCAAGUGGCUUCUCAAUUUAUGGAUAUGUGACCAUUUCCAUAAUUUGGGAGACAGUAUUCGUUCUUGAUCCAUACCUUGUUAAUUUAUUUCUCUACCUAAAUUCUAAGUGGCUUCUCAAUUUAUGGAUAUGUGACCAUUUCAAGUGGAAUGCAUUCGUUCUUAUGUUGGGAUGUGAAGACUUUAUGUUGCAAUUUCAACCCGUUUGAUUCAGCUUCAUUUUAUCUGUCAAUGUGCUAACAGUUGUCACCCUCUUCAGGAUGGCUCCCGCUAAGAGCACCAAUCAGAAUCAGAAUCAGGAUCCGCCACCACCUCCUCCUCCUCCGGAGGCAUGGCAAGCUGUGAUGGCCGUAACCAAUGCAAACACAAAGUUGAUCAUGCAAAUUCUUCAAGAGCGCAAUCAAGCGAACCAAGGCAAACAAGGCAACGAUCAGAAUCACUUUGCUACACUCAACCAGUUCCUUGCUAACGGGCCAAAGACUUUCAGCAAUUGUGUUGAGGCAACUUAUGCUGACGAUUGGCUCGUGGAUCUAUGCAAGCAUUUCGAGUGCAGUAAUGCCGGCCUGAGGACUUCGUCAAGUUCGCUUCCUUCCAACUCAAAGAUCAAGCUGCAGAAUGGUUCCAGCAAUACAAGGACUCCAGAGGAGGUCGUGUGAUUACCUGGAUGAAUUCCAUCAAGACUUCAAAGCUCAUCAUAUUCCUCAGAGCGUGGUUGAAAGAAAGUGUGAGGAAUUCUGCAACAUGAAGCAAGGCUCUUUGUCUGUGUAUGACUACAACAAGUUGUUCCAGAAGCUCGCCCGCUUUGCUAAGCAGGACGUCCCUGACGAGAAGAGCAUGAUAUACCAGUUCAGGGUGGUCUCAGAGAAGAAAUCUAGCUAGCUCUUGUUCUCUUUGAGCCCUUGAGAUACGAUGAGUUCUACAACAUGGCAUUGAAGCAAGAGGCCGCUCAACUGAGGUGUGAUGCUUCCAAGAAGCGAGUCAGAGAUGCUACUCCUUCUUCCUCUACUCAAGUGGCCAAGCAGCAGAAGUAUUGGCUUCCUCCUCCUCCGUUCCGUCAGCCGUAUCAGCAGAAGAGCAAAGGUGGCAGUGGAUGUUCCCACCCACCCAACCCUGGCUUUCAGAACAAGACUUCGUCUCAAGCUCCAAGAUCGAGUGCUCCGUAUCACCGUCCGCUUUUAGAGGUCACGUGCAACAAGUGCCAACAUAAGGGUCACUAUGCCAACAAAUGCUUCAAUCAGAGGCGUCUCCCUCCUCCUCUUGUGAGAUCGGCAAGUACAGCUGUGGUCAAGCAUAACCCCAAGUACUCCAAGGUUAACAUGGUGAAUGCAGCUCAGGCAGAGGACUCGUCAGAUGUCAUCAUGGGUAACCUUCCUGUUAACAAUGUUCCUGCAAAAGUUCUUUUUGACACUGGUGCAUCGCAUUGUUUCAUCUCGAGAUCUUUUGCAUCUAAACAUGGGUGGUAUUCUCAAGUUAUGCAUAAACCGUUAGCAGUUGUCUCUCCGAGUAGUUGUUUGCUCGCUAACUACGAGGUUCCGAAUAUUUCUAUCUCGAUGGGUGAUUUCAAGUUUCUGGCUUCUCCAAUGAUCCUUGGUAACUCGGAUAUUGAUCUUAUUCUCGGGAUGGAUUGGCUUUCUAAGCACAAGGCUCAGCUUGAUUGUGCAGCCAGGCAGAUUCAAUUGACUCAUUCGUCUGAGGAUGUAAUUGUCUUUGCCGCUCGGGAUAAUACAAUCCAUCUGUUCUCUCUCAAUAAGAAGGGUGAACUGGAUGCUAUCUCGCAAAUUCCAGUCGUUUGCGAAUAUCAAGACGUCUUUCCAGAAGAGCUUCCAGGAAUGCCUCCGCACCGGCCAGUUGAAUUCGUCAUCGAUCUUGAGCCUGGCACGGAACCUGUGUGCAAGCGUCCUUACAAGCUCGAACCUGAAGAGUUGAAGGAGCUGAAGAAGCAACUCGAUGUUCAAGAGAGAAUGGGUCUCAUCCGGCCUAGUUCUUCUCCGUGGGGUGGUGGUGUUCUUUUUGUGAAGAAGAAGGAUGGAACGGACCGACUUUGUGUUGACUACCGUCCAUUGAACAAGAAGACUAUCAAGAACAAAUACCCACUUGCCAACAUCAACGAGCUAUUCGAACAACUCAAAGGUGCCCAAGUAUUCUCCAAGCUUGAUCUCCGUAUGGGUUAUCACCAGAUUCGAAUCCGUGAGCAAGAUAUUCCCAAGACGGCUUUCAGGACAAGCUUUGGUUCAUAUGAAUAGACUGUCAUGUCUUUUGGCCUCAUCAACGCUCCUCCGACUUUCUCUCGCAUGAUGAACUUCAUCUUCAACGCCUACACCAACGACUUUAUUUUGGUCUAUCUCGACGACAUUCUGGUCUUUUCGAAGUACAAGGAAGAUCAUGCCAAGCACUUGCGUUUGGUGCUCGAUAAGCUCAGGGAACACAAGUUCUACGCCAAGUUCUCCAAGUGCGAAUUUUGCCUCGAUGAGGUUCUUUAUCUUGGUCAUAUCAUCUCUGCCAAGGGCAUUGCGGUGAAUCCUGAGAAGGUGUCUGCAAUUGUGAAUUGGGAACCUCCUCAGAAUGUGAAGCAACUCCGUAGCUUCCUCGGUCUCGCAAGCUACUGUCGAAGAUUCGUUGAAAACUUUUCUAAGAUCGCGAAGCCUCUCUCAAAUCUUCUCCAGAAGCACGUCAAGUACGUUUGGUCUCCGGAGUGUGACAUUGCUUUCAACACUUUGAAAGAGAAAUUGGUCACCGCUCCAGUUCUGACUCCGCCUGAUGAAUCCAAGCCGUACGAGGUCUUUUGCAAUGCCUCUCUCCAAGGUCUUGGUGCAGUGUUGAUGCAAGAAAAGAAAGUUGUGGCUUAUACCUCCCGCCAGUUGAAGCCCAACGAGAAGAACUACCCCACUCAUGAUCUCGAGUUGGCGGCAGUUGUGCAUGCUCUUUUGACUUGGAGACAUCUCUUAUUGGGAAGAAAAGUGGACAUCUUCACUGACCACAAGAGUCUCAAGUAUAUCUUCACGCAGCCUAAUCUCAACCUCAGGCAGACUCGAUGGGUCGAAAUGAUUCAAGAGUAUAAUCCGAGUAUCGAGUAUACUCCAGGAAAGGCCAAUGUGAUUGCUGAAGCAUUGAGCAGGAAGGCUUAUUGCAACAGUCUGAUUCUCAAGCCUUAUCAACCCGAGCUUUGUGAAGCUUUCCGCAAACUUAAUCUGCAAGUUGUUCCUCAAGGUUUCCUCGCGAAACUUAAUCUGGUCUUCCAAGUUGUAUCUCCUACCUUGGAAGACCAGAUUCGCCAAGCUUAGCUUCUUGAUGCUAUGGUGAAGAAGGUAAAAAUUGGGAUUGCCAAGAGUCAACCCAAGUACAAGUGCUACCGCCUCGAUGACAAGGAUACUCUCUUAUUCGAGGAUCGUAUUGUCGUGCCCAAAGGUGACCUUCGUAAAGUGAUCAUGAACGAGGCUCACAAUUCUCUCCUCUCCAUCCACCCUGGGAGCACGAAGAUGUAUCAGGACCAUAGGCAGGCUUAUUGGUGGACUCGAAUGAAGCGUGAAAUUGAUCAGUUAACGAAUGUGAUGUCUGCAGAAGAGUGAAGGCAGAACACCAAAGGCCAGCUGGUCUCCUCCAACCUCUUGCCAUUCUAGAAUGGAAGUUUGACCACAUUGAGAUGGACUUCGUGACUGGGUUUCCAAAGUCCAAGCGUGGCAAUGAUGCUAUAUUCGUUGUCAUCGACAAACUCACUAAAGUGGCUCACUUUCUACCUAUCAAAGAGUCAAUCACUGCAGCUCAACUGGCAGAACUCUAUACCUCUCGAAUUGUCUCUCUGCACGGUAUUCCACAAGUGAUCUCUUCAGACCGUGGCAGCAUCUUUACCUCCAAGUUUUGGGAAUCUUUCCAGAAGGCCAUGGGCACCAACAUCCGCUUCAGCACACCUUUCUAUCCGCAAACUAGCGGUCAAGUCGAGCGUGUCAAUCAGAUUCUUGAAGAUAUGCUCAGGGCUUGUGUGAUCUCCUUCGGCAUGAAGUGGGAGGAUUGUCUUCCUUAUGCUGAAUUCUCAUACAACAACAGUUUUCAAGCAAGUUCGGGCAAGGCCCCAUUUGAAAUUCUGUAUGGCAGGAAGUGCCGUACCCCUCUCAACUGGUCUGAAACCGGUGAACGUCAACUUCUGGGAAAUGACUUAAUCACAGAGGCAGAGGAAAUGUGCAAAGUCAUUCGAGAUAACCUCAAAGCAGCCCAAUCCCACCAGAAGAGCUACUAUAAUAGUAAGCACCGUGAUUUGGCUUUCGAGAUCGGAGAUCAUGUUUACCUCCGCGUCUCUCCUAUGAAAGGUACUCGUCGCUUCGGUAUCAAAGGGAAGCUUGCCCCUAGAUACGUGGGACCUUUCAAGAUUGUCAGCAAGAGAGGCGAUCUCGCCUAUCAACUCGAGCUUCCUUCAAACUUUGCAAAUGUGCAUGACGUGUUCCAUGUCUCUCAGCUUCGAAAGUGCUUCAAGACUCCCGACCGCACCAUCAACUUCGAGGGAAUUGAGCUCCAAGAAGAUCUCUCUUAUCGUGAGCACCCCGUUGCUAUUCUUGAAGAGACUGAACGCAAGACUCGCAAUAAGUCAAUCAAAUUCCUCAAAGUCAAGUGGUCACACCAUUCCGACCGUGAAGCUACCUGGGAACGCGAGGAUCACCUCCGUUCUGAAUACCCGGCGUUCUUUCAGUCCUAGAUCUCGGGACGAGAUCCUUUCGUAGUGGUGGAGUGUUGUAACACCCCGGAUAUGAUUACCCAAUAUGUAAUCCAACUCUUGCCGUUUCCAGCGUUAAGUUAUUUUAUUUUCUCGGGUUCGGGUUUUUGUCUCCGUGUGUUGUUAUCGUUGUCAUGCAUCUCAUAUCAUAUCAUCACGUGCAUUGCAUUUGCAUACAUGUUUAUUUCAUGCAUUCGAGCAUUUUCCCCGUUGUCCGUUUUGCAUUCCGGCGCUUCGUUCUCCUCCGGUGGUCAUUUCUACCUUUCUUUCGUGUGUGGGGUUUAAACAUUUCCGGAUUGGACCGAGACUUGCCAAGAGGCCUUGGUUUACUACCGGUAGACCGCCUGUCAAGUUCGUACCAUUUGGACUUCGUUUGAUGCUCCAACAGUUAACCGAGGGACCGAAAAGGCCUCGUGUGUGUUGCAGCCCAACACCCCUCCAAGUUGGACCAAAACUCACCAAAACCCUCUCCAUCAUCUAGAGCGUUCGAUCACGAUCGCGUGGCCGAAAACCGCACCUUAUUUGGACUCUCCUAGCUCCCUCUAUGCCUAUAUAUACACCUCCCCCUCCAAAAAUUCGCGGUGCAAACCUACCCUAACUCUCCCCGCCGCCGCCGGACAUCUUCGCCACCGACGGACACGUCCGGAUCCGCCGGCCCGCGCCAAUCAACGUCCGCCAUGUGGCGCCGCGCCCACAUCGCCUGUCCCCGCCGCCGCGCGGCCCGGGAGCCCGGAGCCGGCCCCCGCGGCCCGCUCCCUCGCGCCGCCCGCCCGCGCGUCUCUUCGCCCGUGCCGGCGAAGCCUCAAGCUCCGGCCGCCGCCCGCCAUCGCCGCCGUUGAUGCCGACCCGUCGGACCGCGCCACCGCGCCUACUCGUCCCCGGCUAAGCCGCGCCGCUCGCCGCCCGAGCUGCCCGCCAUCACCGCCGCCUCGCCCUCGACUCCACCGCCCGGAUCCGGUGUCUUCUCUCUCCGGCGACCGCGGCAAGUCCGGCCACCGCGUCGUCCAUUUUCGGCGAACCUCGAGACUCAUGCUGCUACAGUGCCCAGAUCUAGAUCCGGUUGAUUUUUUUGCCCAAAACCUUAAUUAUUUGGCAUUGUUCAUCGCAUCGUAACUCCGCAUCCGUAGCUCCGUUUUAGGCAUAUAGCAUAUCAAAAUGUUCGUCUCAGAGAGCACAUCAUUUCAUGCCAUUACAUCGUUUUAAUUUGAGUUCAUCUUGAUGCCCAAAAUGCUGUUAGAAGAGAGAUAUUUAAGACAAUUGUCAGAUCUGCUACUCCAAUUAGAUAUUUGUCAUUUUUGCCAUGAUUAUUGUGUGCAUGAUAUGCCCCUGAGCUCUUCAUGAGUUUUGUUAUAUGUUUUGCCAUCUAUCCAGAGGUGCAAUCCAUGUAUUUUAGUGAUGUGUGUGGUGACUAGCACAAGCUUGCAAAGUGGAGCAUUCGUUAAUGCUGGUUUCAGGGACUUAGCAUUUCCACCAAGUCCUUGAGCUGUUUAUCUCAAUAUGCCAUAUGUUCAUGUUGUUUCCUAGUGAUCCGUGCCUCUUUUGAGGAUGAUCAGUAAGGAUGUUUUGUUAAUCUUGUAGUGCUCUAUCCAUCCAUGUCUUUGUUUGCAAUUAUGGAGCAUCCUAGCUUGAGUCAAUCGAGCUCUACUUUUGUCAUUUCGUGAAUCUGGGCAGAUUGUCUACUUGUUAGCGAUUUUGCUGAGGAUGUUGUAGUUGAUCCGUGCAUGCUAUGUUAUUGUUCUUGCCAUGUCUAGCUUGUAUUUUGUGUAUUCUUGAUGGGUGUAUGCUUAGUUUGUCAUGACUUGCUCUGUAGUGAGUGCAUCGAGCUCGUAAACAUGCCUACUUGAUAUCUGUUUUAGCAUGCUCCAGUUUUCACUAAGUCUGAGAACUGAUUAUGUUUUUGCCAUGUUGACAUGCUUGCAAAUGUAUUUUAUGAUCCCUUUUGGCUCAAGACCACUAAGGGACUUUUGUUAAGCUCUUUGAGUAGCUCCAUGCCAUGCUUUAUUUUGCCAUGUUCAGGUCCUGUAGCAUAUAAUUUUCAUGCUCCAAAGAGUGCUAUCUGAUCUGAAAUUCUAGACAAGUGUUAAUUUCACCAAGUCUGAAAUCUGUUUGCCAAAUGCAUUUUUGCGAUGCUUCUUUGAACCUGUUAAUGGAUGAAUUGGCCGUAGCUCAGUGUUCCUCUUUUGUUAAGCAUCAUGAAUGGAUCCCUGCCAUGUAUUUUGAUGCCAUGUUUGGGUGCUGUAGCAUGUUCAUCUUGUUGCAUUUAGAUGGCUACUUGCUGUAAAUCACAGAACGUGGUCAUAUUUGAAUUGAUUGCCAUUUCCAAACCGUAAAUCUGAUUCCGGCGUUCUUUAUAUCGUUUUCAAGCGAUUUCAUCUCACCUUUCCAGUGGCACACUUGGAUUUCCAAGUUGAGGCCAGGUUCAUGCAUUCCUUGUCAAAUCGUGCAUAUGCAUAGCAUAUCGCAUCCCGCAUAGCAUACCAUCUUGCAUCAUAUUGUUUGAGCUUUGCACGUGGUUGAUUGCCUUCCGUUUGCUUGUUUGUCUUGAUUGGGUAGAGCCGGGAGAUGAGUUCGCUAACGAGGAGCCCGUUGAGUUUGCUUUCAAGGAUCCAGUCAACUCUGACAACUUUGCAGGCAAGAUGAUCAUACCCUCGAAAUCACUACUAUCUUUGCUUUGCUAGAUGCUCGCUCUUUUGCUAUGCCUAUGCUACGAUGCCUACCACUUGCUUAUCAUACCUCCCAAAUUGCCAUGUCAAACCUCUAAACCACCAUGUCCUAGCAAACCGUUGAUUGGCUAUGUUACCGCUUUGCUCAUCCCCUCUUAUAGCGUUGCCAGUUGCAUGUGAAGAUUGGAGACCGUUCCUUGUUGGAACAUUAUUUACUUGUUGGGAUAUCAUUAUAUUGCCUUGUUAUCUUAAUGCAUCUAUAUACUUGGUAAAGGGUGGAAGGCUCGGCCUCUCGCCUAGUGUUUUGUUCCACUCUUGCCGCCCUAGUUUCCGUCAUAUCGGUGUUAUGUUCCCGGAUUUUUGCGUUCCUUAUGCGGUUGGGUGAUAAUGGGAACCCCGUGAUAGUUCACCUUGAUUAAAGCUUUUCCAGCAAUGCCCAACCUUGGUUUUACCAUUUGCCACCUAGCCUCUUUUUCCCUUGGGUUUCCGGAGCCCGAGGAUCAUCUUAUUUUAAACCCCCCCUGGCCAGUGCUCCUUUGAGUGUUGGUCCACCUCGUCAGCCGCCGGUGGCCACCAGGGGCAACUCUGGGCUGGCCUACCGGAAGUUUAGACAAUCUGAGUGAGCCCUGAGAACGAGAUAUGUGCAGCUCCUAUCGGGAUUUGUCGGCACAUUCGGGCGGUGUUGCUGGAUUGGUUUUAACUUGUCAAAGUGUCUUGUAGAACCGGGAUACCGAGUCUGAUCGGAAUGUCUCGGGAGGAGGUCUAUUCUUUGUUGACCGUGAGAGCUUGUCAUGGGCUAAGUUGGGACUCCCCUGCAGGUAUUUUGAUGCCAUGGUUGGGUGCUGUAGCAUGUUCAUCUUGUUGCAUUUAGAUGGCUACUUGCUGUAAAUCGCAGAACAUGGUCAUAUUUGAAUUGCUUGCCAUUUCCAAACCGUAACUCCGAUUCCGGCGUUCUUUAUAUCGUUUUCAAGCGAUUUCAUCUCACCUUUCCAGUGGCAGACUUGGAUUUCAAAGUUGAGGCCAGGUUCAUGCAUUCCUUGUCAAAUCUUGCAUAUGCAUCGCAUAUCGCAUCCCGCAUAGCAUACCAUCUUUGUGUCAUAUUGUUUGAGCUUUGCACAUGGUUGAUUGCGUUCCGUUUGCUUGUUUGUCUUGAUUGGGUAGAGCCGGGAGACGAGUUCGCUAACGAGGAGCCCAUUGAGUUUGCUUUCGAGGAUCCAGUCAACUCUGACAACUUUGCAGCCAAGAUGAUCAUACCUUCGAAAUCACUACUAUCUUUGCUUUGCUAGAUGCUCACUCUUUUGCUAUGCCUAUGCUACGAUGCCUACCACUUGCUUAUCAUGCCUCCCAAAUUGCCAUGUCAAACCUCUAACCCACCAUGUCCUAGCAAACCGUUGAUUGGCUAUGUUACCGCUUUGCUCAGCCCCUCUUAUAGCGUUGCUAGUUGCAGGUGAAGAUUGGAGACCGUUCCUUGUUGGAACAUUAUUUACUUGUUGGGAUAUCAUUAUAUUGCCUUGUUAUCUUAAUGCAUCUAUAUACUUGGUAAAGGGUGGAAGGCUCGGCCUCUCGCCUAGUGUUUUGUUCCACUCUUGCCGCCCUAGUUUCCGUCAUAUUGGUGUUAUGUACCCGGAUUUUUGCGUUCCUUACGUGGUUGGGUGAUAAAGGGAACCCCGUGAUAGUUCGCCUUGAUUAAAGCUUUUCCAGCAAUGCCCAACCUUGGUUUUACCAUUUGCCACCUAGCCUCUUUUUCCCUUGGGUUUCCGGAGCCCGAGGGUCAUCCUAUUUUAAACCCCCCCAGGCCAGUGCUCCUCUAAGUGUUGGUCCACCUCGUCAGCCGCUGGUGUCCACCAGGGGCAACUCUGGGCUGGCCUACCGGAAGUCUAGAUAAUCUGAGUGUGCCCUGAGAACGAGAUAUGUGCAGCUCCUAUCAGGAUUUGUCGGCACAUUUGGGCGGUGUUGCUGGAUUGGUUUUAACUUGUCAAAGUGUCUUGUAGAACCGGGAUACCGAGUCUGAUCGGAAUGUCUCGGGAUGAGGUCUAUUCCUUCGUUGACCAUGAGAGCUUGUCAUGGGCUAAGUUGGGACUCCCCUGCAGGGAUUUGAACUUUCGAAAGCCGUCCCGCGGUUAUGGGCAGAUGGGAAUUUGUUAAUGUACGGUUGUAGAUAACUUGAACCUUAACUUAAUUAAAAUGAAUCAACUGUGUGAGUUACCGUGAUGGUCUCUUCUCGGCGGAGUCCAGGAAGUGAACACGGUGUUGGAGUAAUGCUUGCCGCAGGAUGCCCCCUAGUUAUUCGUUCGCGCUUUGCCUUCUCUUCUCGCUCUCUUUUGCGAACAGGUUAGCCACCAUAUAUGCUAGUCGCUUGCUGCAGCUCCACAUAAUUACCUUGCUUUACCUAUAAGCUUAAAUAGUCUUGAUCGCGAGGGUGCGGGAUUGCUGAGUCCCUGUGGCUCACAGAUUACUUCCAAACCAGAUGCAGGGCCUGAUGAUUCCGUUCCAGAUGACGCACUUGAGCUCAAGUGGGAGUUCGACGAGGACUCACGUCGUUACUAUGUGUCUUUCCCUGAUGAUCAGUAGUGGUGCCCAGUUGGGGGUGAUCGGGACCGUGUCGCAUGUUGGGUUUAUCUUUUAUUUUGGCGCCGUAGUCGGGCCAUGAGUGUUUGAUUGUUGUAAUGCUAUUUAUGUACUUUGUUUGACGUGGCGAGUGUAAGCCAACUAUGUAUCUCCCCUUUUAUUAUCUAUAUUACAUGGGAUGUUGUGAAGAUUGCCUAACUUGCGACAUUGCUUUCAAUGCGGUUAUGCCUCUAAGUCGUGCCUCAACACGUGGGAGAUAUAGCCGCAUCGAGGGCGUGACAUGGGCUUAAGCUAGUCUAGGUUGUUUAUGUUUACACUAGUUGAAGUGCCUUAGAUGUGGGAUCUUGUUCGUAUCCCGUGUGAUAUUGGUCGGACUUUCGGUCCUUUGUUGUUGGUGGUGAUACGUUGUACUGCUCUUGGACCUGUGUUUUCUUUUCUUCCCUAUCUUUAAUAUGCUACAUGUAGUCCCCAUGUAUGGUUCAAAAAAUCAUUUAGAGAGAGAGAGAGAGAACGGUUGAGCAAAUUGUAUUGAUAAGCCAUGAUUAGCAUGAUUGGUAAGAAAUAUAGCAUGUGGAUAUUAUGCAGCAGAUCAUCGGGGUGCAAAAAGAAACAUGUAAUAAGAUAGCUUCAGUCUCUACUGUUGUAAUCAGUGUAAAUUAUAUCGCCUUGGUGCUGUUUCUUGGGAGAUAAAAACUACAUAGAGUACCAAAAUAUGCAAAAGUCAAAUAUCGGUUAAACUGACAAAUAUUGAAUGGAUGCCUUGGUGUUGUUUCCUCGAAGGAAACAACUAUAGUAAACAGCAUAGUAUAAAAAAAGAAAUUUAAAAUGUUAGUUGAACUAACAUAUAUUCAAUAAGCAUUCAGAUACGGUUUAAUUAAACAUCAACCAAAUUGUAAAAAUCCAUUUUUCUGUCAUAAAUGGAAUAGAAAUAAAAAAUAUCAGGUAGAGUAAACUGAUAAAUUACUCUUUAGCACCUGAUAUUCCAUAAGAUACAGAUCUAUUUGUGUACUGUGUCUAUCAGAAAUUUAUCAUUUAGAUGCUCAGCGAUGGCAGCUCCAUGCGGAUCUUAUUGGGUGUCAGCGUCAACUUUCAGCAAUAGUAUCUAGCCCGGUGAAGUUCAUAAAUUGAACCGUAGAAUUUAGAUAUCUGCGGUGAAUAGAAUUAUAAUCAGCAGGAAACACUUUUUGAUAGUCUGUCUUCUAACAAAAAAUUGAUAUACACCAUGAUUAUUUGGUUGUGCGAUGCAAACAGUAAACAUGAAUUAAAAUAGUGAGACUUGAUUGAUACCUGAUGAAAUGUUAUUUUCAAUCUCCAAAGACGAUUGUGCAUCCUAUCAUGUUAGAAAACAAUGUUUUCACCUGAUUGAACUCACCGCCAAUUUAAUUUUCUAAAUUUGGUCUUUAGAACUAUGAAAAAAAGAUGGAAAUUGCAAAUUGUCGUUUCAAUCCAACAUUACCUUCUGAAGCUUAAGAAAAGGCUAUUCGCAACACAGUCCGGUGAAAUGUAUUCGUAAAAAUAUCUUGGAACUACCUACUAUGACUCAUGUUAUUUAGUGUGCUUGUUACAGUGCCUGUUUCUUUAGCUAGCUGAUGAAUGAUUUUCCCAUUAUAGGAAUUUUUUUGAAAAUGCUUCACGUGACUUAAAAGUAAUGCUUGAUGCAGUUUUUUUAUUUUAUGAAUCGUUUGCACCGUCCAUGACAAUAACUGAAACUAAAGCCUAAAAGACUAAUUAUACACGCUGGAAACUGAAUCAUGUAUUCAUGUUGAAUGCUCAGCCCUCCAUACGGAAUUAUCUAUCGGUAAGAAUAGGAUAUGACGGUCUGUUUUCUCUACCACAUCAGAAUGUAUACCCUAAAGUAAUUGUUAUCAACAAUCAGCUAUAUCAGCUGCCCAUGAAUCAUGAUUUUCCCAGUGCAUACUAUAUAUGUGAUGACGACCAUUUUUCUACUGUAUAAAAGUUGAAUGAUGAUCGUAAGGUUAGUUUAGCCUAGAUUACCUACAUAUCCAAUGCACUUAGCACAAAUCUGGCUUAAAAAAUUGCAAAAAUAGCAUUAACAUUUUGGAUAGGCGGUACUAUUAGAGAUAUAUUAUAUGGAUAAUUUUUUUUGCAGUGCUGAAAAUUUAGGAUAUAUUGUAUGGACUCUCUCUACUUCUAGUUCUCUUCUUCUAAUACAUCUUGCGCGUUUGCAAAAAAAUAAUUAGGAUAGACCUUUGCCAAAAAAAGCAGCCUAAUAUAACCUGAAACUUGGCAGCCUUAUUCAACAAAUUUGGCUCGGUAGCUGUAACGCCCUCGAUGCGGCUAUAGCUCCCACGUGUCGAGGCACAACUUAGAGGCAUAACCGCAUUGAAAGCAAUGUCGCAAGUUAGGCAAUCUUCACAACAUCCCAUGUAAUAUAGAUAAUAAAAGGGGAGAUACAUAGUUGGCUUACACUCGCCACGUCAAACAAAGUACAUAAAUAGCAUUACAACAAUCAAACACUCAUGGCCCGACUACGGCGCCAAAAUAAAAGAUAAACCCAACAUGCGACACGGUCCCGAUCACCCCCAACAGGGCACCACUACUGAUCAUUAGGGAAAGACACAUAGUAACGGCGUGAGUCCUCGUCGAACUCCCACUUGAGCUCAAGCGCGUCAUCUGGAACGGAAUCAUCAGGCCCUGCAUCUGGUUUGGAAGUAAUCUGUGAGCCACAGGGACUCAGCAAUCUCGCACCCUCGCGAUCAAGACUAUUUAAGCUUAUAGGUAAGGCAAGGUAAUUAUGUGGAGCUGCAACAAGCGACUAGCAUAUAUGGUGGCUAACCUGUUCGCAAAAGAGAGCGAGAAGAAAAGGCAAAGCACGAACGAAUAACUAGGGGGCAUCCUGCGGCAAGCAUUACUCCAACACCGUGUUCACUUCCCGGACUCCGCCGAGAAGAGACCAUCACGGUAACUCACACAGUUGAUUCAUUUUAAUUAAGUUAAGGUUCAAGUUAUCUACAACCGGACAUUAACAAAUUCUCAUCUGCCCAUAACCGCGGGACGGCUUUCGAAAGUUCAAAUCCCUGCAGGGGAGUCCCAACUUAGCCCAUGACAAGCUCUCACGGUCAACGAAGGAAUAGACCUCCUCCCGAGGCAUUCCGAUCAGACUCGGUAUCCCGGUUCUACAAGACACUUUGACAAGUUAAAACCAAUCCAGCAACACCGCCCGAAUGUGCCGACAAAUCCCGAUAGGAGCUGCACAUAUCUCGUUCUCAGGGCACACUCAGAUUUUCUAAACUUCCGGUAGGCCAGCCCAGAGUUGCCCCUGGUGGCCACCGGCGGCUGACGAGGUGGACCAACACUCAGAGGAGCACUGGCCCAGGGGGGUUUAAAAUAAGAUGACCCUCGGGCUCCGGAAACCCAAGGGAAAAAGAGGCUAGGUGGCAAAUGGUAAAACCAAGGUUGGGCAUUGCUGGAAAAGCUUUAAUCAAGGCGAACUAUCAAGGGAUUCCCAUUAUCACCCAACCGCGUAAGGAACGCAAAAAUCAGGGAACAUAACACCGAUAUGACGGAAACUAGGGCGGCAAGAGUGGAACAAAACACUAGGCGAGAGGCUGGGCCUUCCACUCUUUACUAAGUAUAUAGAUGCAUUAAGAUAACAAGGCAAUAUAAUGAUAUCCCAACAAGUAAAUAAUGUUCCAACAAGGAACGGUCUCCAAUCUUCACCUGCAACUGGCAACGCUAUAAGAGAGGCUGAGCAAAGCGGUAACAUAGCCAAUCAAUGGUUUGCUAGGACAUGGUGGGUUAGAGGUUUGACAUAGAAAUUUGGGAGGCAUGAUAAGCAAGUGGUAGGCAUCGUAUCAUAGGCAUAGCAAAAGAGCGAGCAUGUAGCAAAGCAAAGAUAGUAGUGACUUCGAGGGUAUGAUCAUCUUGCCUGCAAAGUUGUCAGAGUUGACUGGAUCCUCGAAAGCAAACUCAACGGGCUCCUCGUUAGCGAAAUCGUCUCCCGGCUCUACCCAAUCAAGACAAACAAGCAAACGGAACGCAAUCAACCACGUGCAAAGCUCAAACAAUAUGAUGCAAAGAUGGUAUGCUAUGCGGGAUGCGAUAUGCGAUGUAUAUGCAAGAUUUGACAAGGAAUGCAUGAACUUGGCCUCAACAUGGAAAUCCAGGUGUGCCACUGGAAAGGUGAGAUGAAAUCGCUUGAAAAUGAUAUAAGGAACGCCGGAAUCGGAGUUACGGUUUGGAAUUGGCAAGCGAUUCAAAUAUGACCACGUUCUGCGAUUUACAGCAAGUAGCCAUCUAAAUGCAACAAGAUGAACAUGCUACAGCACCCAAACAUGGCAUCAAAAUACAUGGCAGGGAUCCAUUCAUGAUGCUUAACAAAAGAGGAACACUGAGCUACGGCCAAUUCAUCCAUUAACAGGUUGAAACAAGCAUGGCAAAAAUGCAUUUGGCAAACAGAUUUCAGACUUGGUGAAAUUAACACUUGUCUGGAAUUUCAGAUCAGAUGGCAAAAAUGCAUCAAGAUGAACUCAAAUGAAAAUGAUGCAAUGGCAUGAAAUGAUGUGCUCUCUGAUACGAACAUUUUGAUAUGCUAUAUGCCCAAAACGGAGCUGCGGAUGCGGAGUUACGAUGCGAUGAACAAUGCCAAAUAAUUAGGGUUUCAGGCAAAAAAUCAACCGGAUCUAGAUCUGGGCACUGUAGCAGCACGAGUCUCGAGGUUCACCGGAAAUGGACGACGCGGUGGCCGGACUUGACGCGGUCGCCGGAGAGAGAAGACGCCGGAUCUGGGCGGUGGAGUCGAGGGCGAGGCGGCGGUGAUGGCGGGCGGCUCGGGCGGCGAGCGGCACGGCUCGGCCGGGGACGNNNNNNNNNNNNNNNNNNNNNNNNNNNNNNNNNNNNNNNNNNNNNNNNNNNNNNNNNNNNNNNNNNNNNNNNNNNNNNNNNNNNNNNNNNNNNNNNNNNNNNNNNNNNNNNNNNNNNNNNNNNNNNNNNNNNNNNNNNNNNNNNNNNNNNNNNNNNNNNNNNNNNNNNNNNNNNNNNNNNNNNNNNNNNNNNNNNNNNNNNNNNNNNNNNNNNNNNNNNNNNNNNNNNNNNNNNNNNNNNNNNNNNNNNNNNNNNNNNNNNNNNNNNNNNNNNNNNNNNNNNNNNNNNNNNNNNNNNNNNNNNNNNNNNNNNNNNNNNNNNNNNNNNNNNNNNNNNNNNNNNNNNNNNNNNNNNNNNNNNNNNNNNNNNNNNNNNNNNNNGCUUGAGGGCUUCGCCAGCGCGGGCGAAGAGACGCGUGGGCGGGCGGCGCGAGGGAGCGGGCCGCGGGGGCCGGCUCCGGGCUCCUGGGCCGCGCGGCGGCGGGGACAGGUGAUGUGGGCGCGGCGCCACAUGGCGGACGUUGAUUGGCGCGGGCCAGCGGAUCUGGACGUGUCCGUCGGUGGCGAAGAUGUCCGGCGGCGGCGCGGAGAGUUAGGGUAGGUUUGCACCGCGAAUUUUUGGAGGGGGAGGUGUAUAUAUAGGCGAGCUAGGAGAGUCCAAAUAAGGUGCGGUUUUCGGCCACGCGAUCGUGAUCGAACGCUCUAGAUGAUGGAGAGGGUUUUGGUGGGUUUUGGUCCAACUUGGAGGGGUGUUGGGCUGCAACACACACAAGGCCUUUUCGGUCCCUCGGUUAACCGUUGGAGCAUCAAACGAAGUCCAAAUGGUACGAAACUUGACAGGCGGUCUACCGGUAGUAAACCAAGGCCGCUUGGCAAGUUUCGGUCCAAUCCGGAAAUGUUUAAACCCCACACACGAAAGAAAGGUAGAAAUGACCACCGGAGGAGAACGAAGCGCCAGAAUGCAAAAUGGACAACGGGGAAUAUGCUCGAAUGCAUGAGAUGAACAUGUAUGCAAAUGCAAUGCACAUGAUGAUAUGAUAUGAGAUGCAUGACAAUGAUAACAACACACGGAGACAAUAACCCGAACCCGAGAAAAUAAAAUAACUUAACGUCGGAAACGGCAAGAGUUGGAUUACAUAUUGGGUAAUCAUAUCCGGGGUGUUACAGUAGCCUCGCUCGCUGUAGACAUUACAUCAAACAUGGAUGGAUCAAGAUUGGAGCUGGGCAGAAGAAAGGGCCACUUUGCAUAGAUUAGUGUCUUACUGGAAGGAGUACUUUUGGAUCACCGCCUCAUGCCGAAGCUCCUCUAACCCCUCGGCCGCCAGCCAUGUGUGCCGCUCCAGGCAAGGCACGCUACAGGCCAGCAGACGCUUGGCAAAGCGUUGGCAUCGCACGCACAUAGGCGCGGACACAUGCAUGACUCCAACGUUCCUGCUGCCCAUGAUGAUGAGAGGCGCGAGGUGGCGAGGCAGAGGGUGCUUGGACUUCUUUCGGACGGCCAGGCCAGGGUUGUGAAUUGGGUUGGAAGCGUUGAACCCUUUGUCUCGGGCCGCAUGUUUAUAUAUAAUGGCAAUGCCUUGGAGUACAAGAAGAGAUCAAGAGAUCGAUCUCAGGUUGGUUUGGUUCGGUACAGGAGGGAGAAGAAGAAAGGAGAUAGAGAUAGAGAUAGAUUACAAUUUGAAUGAAACUAUCCUAUACAUAUUCUAACACCCCCCCCCCCUCAAUCUAAACCUCAUGAACUUUGACCAAGGUUGAGAUUGUACUUGAACUCAUCUAACCUCCUCAUAGUGAGAGGCUUUGUGAAUCCAUCAGCAAGUUGAUCUCCAGUAGGAAUGAACUGAAUUUCAAGGAGCUUUCUAGCUACUCUUUCUCUGACAAAGUGGAAAUCAACUUCAAUAUGCUUUGUGCGUGCAUGAAAAACAGGAUUAGCUGACAGAUAGGUUGCACCAAUAUUAUCACACCAUAAUCUGGUUGCUUUUGGAGUCUUAAUUCCAAGUUCAUAAAGCAAUGUCUGUAUCCACAUUACUUCAGCUGUGGCAUUUGCCAAAGCUUUGUAUUCAGCCUCAGUACUUGAUCUAGAGACUGUAGCCUGCUUUCUUGCACUCCAUGACACAAGAUUGGAUCCCAGAAAUACAACAAAUCCACCAAUUGACCUUCUAUCAUCAAUACAUCCUGCCCAGUCUGCAUCAGAGUAGGCAGUAACAAGCAUAGAAGAAGACUUGAUAAUUUGAAGUCCAAGUCCUUCUGAAAACUACUCUCCUGAGUAUGUCAGCUGUGAUAGGUGUAUUCAACAGAGAGUUUUUCAGAAGUUGAGAUAGGUGUACUCACAGGUUUACAUUUUUCCAAACCUACUCUCCUGAGUAUGUCAGCUGUGUAUUUUCCCUGUGUCAGAAGUAUACCAUCUCUUAUCUGUUUGACCUCAAUACCAAGAAAAUAAUGAAGAUCUCCCAAGUCCUUGAGGGCAAAUUCUAACUUAAGAUCCUUAAGAAAACAAGUGGUGGCACUUGAACUCGAGCUAGCAACAAUAAUAUCAUCAACAUAAACCAGCACAAAAAUAGUGACAUUUCCUUUAUUGUAAAAGAACAAGGAUGUGUCUGCUUUGGAUGGUACAAAUCCAAGUUGUUGUAGUUGCAUGCUCAAUCGUGAAUACCAAGCUCUUGACGCCUGUUUUAAACCAUAUAGAGCUUUAUCCAACUUACAAACAUAGUGUGGUGUACCUUUGUUUUCAUAACCUGGUGGCUGCCACAUGAACACCUCUUCCUCAAGAACACCAUGAAGAAACGCGUUCUGAACAUCUAGCUGUCUUAAGCUCCAACCUUUGAAAACAACAAUAGACAAGACAAGUUGAAUGGUGGCUGAUUUAACAACUGGACUAAAAGUAUCCUCAUAGUCAAUCCCAAACCUUUGCUUAAAGCCUUUAGCAACUAAUCUAGCCUUGUACCUGUCUAUACUUCCAUCUGACUUCCUGUUUAUCUUGUACACCCAUUUACAAUCAAUAACAUUCAUUCCACUUUUUGAUGGUACUAGGUGCCAUGUUUUAUUUUUCAUAAGUGCAUCAUACUCACUAUCCAUGGCCUCUUUCCAAUCUUUGUGAGCAAGGGCAUCAACUAGAUUAACUGGUUCACCAAUAGUAGUGAGAAAAGCACGUUUUUAUCAUACCUAAUGGUGCCAUCUUUGUAUUCCUUUUCCUUAGUAAUACCUGAUUGUGACCGUGUGUGACGUCGAGGAAUAAUUUGUGCAGCAGAAGAGGCGUCCAUAGAAGAUCCAGCAUCCUGCACACGCCCAACAGCCGCGGGAUCACGCGCCAGAUCCUCUGCAGACAGGAUCGGCCUCAGGAUCGUUCCACCAGCAGAAACGGGCCGCAUGUCGCGUGAGGACUCCACACGGGUGGACGUGCGCAUCGGGGCCCGUGGGCUGGACCCAACCGCGCUCGCCCGGUCGGGCGGCUGGUCGGCCACCCCCGCGGACCAUGGGCUCGUGGCAAGCGGGGAUUCGCCCCAGGUCCCGUCUGUGCUGGUGGGCUCCGCGCGGUCGCUAUCGGCCACCGAGUCAUGCACCGUCUCCGCAUGCAGGUGGGCAGGAUCCUCCUCGGAUCAUGCGCUAAUGAUUGCGCUGACGCUGGCGCCAGGAUUCGCUUGGGAUCGCGUGCUAGAUCGCCUGCUGCCGCCAAAAUCCUCCUCAUGAUCAGCAACGCCUAUAUUGUCUGUUUCUGGACACAUAAAAUCAUGAGCUGCAUUUGUACAAACAUCAUUAGAGCUUCAAUUUUCUGCGGAUUUGUUCACAUGGUCAGCUUCAGAUAAUUCACCCCCGUGAUCAGAUAGUGUGUCAAGAUCCGGAAGAAGUGCUAUUUCGGCACGGAGAAGAGCGCCUGUGUUGGGAUGAAGCUUGGCAAACCGAAAGAGAGUUUCAUCAAAAAUUACAUCUCGAGAAAUAUAUAUACGUCCGGUGAAAAUUUCUAGGCACUUGUAUCCCUUGUGUAGAUUACUAUAGCCUAGAAAAACACAUUGAGUGGAACGGAAUUAAAGUUUGUGAUGAUUAUACGGACGUAAGUUGGGGUAGCAAGCACACCCAAAAGUUUUAAGGGAGUUGUAGUCUGGUUUUUGAUGGUAUAGAAGUUCCAAAGGAGUGGAAUUGCCAAUAACUUUACUUGGAAGACGAUUAAUGAGAUAUGUUGCUAUAAUAAAUGCUUCAUCCCAAUAUUUUAGAGGCAUAGACGCAUGAGCAAGUAGGGAGAGUCCAACUUCAACAAUGUGACGGUGUUUGCGCUCGGCAGAACCGUUCUGUUGAUGAGCAUGAGGACAAGACACAUGGUGCUGAAUCCCUAUGCUACGGAAGAAAGAGUUGAGUUUUUCAUACUCCCCUCCCCAGUCACUUUGGACUGUUAGAAUUUUUCUGUUAAAGUAUCUUUCAACCAGUUUCUGAAAUUCUUGGAAGACAGAGAAAACCUCAGAUUUAUAUUUGAGUAAAUAAAUCCAAGUGAACUUGCUAUAAUCAUCAAUAAAACUAACAUCCAAAGGAAUCUCUUGCAUGACCCCAUACAUCACUGAAAAUAAGCUCUAAAGGAGCAUGAGACACACUAUUUGACUUGGGAUAAGGAAGUUGGUGGCUCUUGGCACACUGACAAGCUUCACAAACUGACUCACUAUUUUUACUCUGUGACAAAGAAAGUUUGUCUCUAUUGACUACUUGCUUAACUAUGAUUGAUGAUGGGUGUCCUAAUCUUUGAUGCCACCUUCCCAAGGAGGGUUUAGUGGUAGAAUAAACUUAACGCUGAUUGCGACUGAGUGCUCCAGAUGUGAUGGGGUAGAGCCCUCCAACGCAUCUACCGUGAUGAAGAAGUUCCCUCGUUGCCUGGUCCUUUAUAAAAAAGUAACGAGGGUGAGUUUCAAAGAAGACGCUAUUGUCAGUGGCUAGACGAGACAUGGAUGCAAGAUUUUUAUCAGCUUGUGGGACAUGAAGAACGUCUUUAAGAACUAGAUCACGUUUAAGGUUGGGGGAAUUAAUGUAAGCUUGUCCAAUGUGACAAAUAUCCAUACCUCCACCACUUGCCGCAAUGUGAAUCUGGUCGCCACCAUGGUAUCUCUCACGAAGUGCAAGUUGCUCCAACUCGCUGGUGACAUGAUCUGUUGCACCCGAGUCCAUGUACCAGACGCCAUCUCCUCCUCCUUCUUCAUGGAUGGCAGCAACAACAUGACAAGCGUCGGGGACGAAGUCUUCAUCAUACCUGUGCCAACAGUCCAUGACCUCAUGGCCUGACUUUUUGCACAGCCGACAACGAGGGCGGCGAUUUGAGGAGGAGCGGCGGCGGCUGUUGUUGUUGUUGUUGAAGCCGCCACCUCCAGAGUUGUUGCCACCACUAGAACGAGCACCCUUGCCCUGGUAGUUGCCGCGCCCGCAUCCGCCACCGUUGGAGCUGCGGUUCUGUCCCUGGUGACCGCGCACACGGCCGCACCCGCGAGCCGCCGAGUUGACGAAGGACUGUCUAAUGUUGGCGCCGUGGAGGAGGGCGAGGCGAGCAUCAAAGCUCAAGAGCUGGCUGUACAGCUCCUGAACCGAGACUGGCUCAACCCUAGCAGACAGAGCGGACACGACUGGAUUGUAGUCCAGAUCGAGGCCAACCAUGAUCUUGGAGACUAUCUCUGGAUCGGGAAGAGGAACUCCGGUGCAGCAUGCAACUUCAUCUGUAAGGGUUUUAAUUUUGCCAAGAUAUUCUACCAUGGACAUGUUACCUUUCUUCAAGUUCGUGAGCUCGAUGCGGGUGUUGAUGGCCUAACUCUGGCUCUGGGCGGCGAACAUAGCAUUGAUGGCGCUCUAGACCUCUGCUGGCGUCUGAAGGGUGGCAACUUGAGCGAGAAUCUCACGGGACAAAGAUCCCAUCAGAUACCCCUGAAGUUGCUGCUGCUGCGUGUACCAGAGGGUUCGGGCGAAGUUGACGACCUGUUCAUCUUUUCCAUCUUUGGUGAUGGUGAGGGUGGCCGGUGGUUCCUGGCUCGUCCCAUCAAGGUGGCGCUCCAUCUGUGCACCUCGGAUUUGCGGGAGCACGACGACCUUCCAUAAGAGGAAGUUUCCCCUUGUUAGCUUCUCCUGUGGGGUCGGUCCGAGAGGGAUAGAGCUGCUGCUAGAUGAUGAUGCGAAGGUGGAGGCUGUGGAGGAGGAAAGCGCGCUCGUGGUGGAAGAUAGGGCUGCAGAGGAAGACAUGAUCUCGGCCGCGGGAAGGUAGCUAGAUGCGAUCUUCGAUCUAACAGGAAGAUGCUCUGAUUACCAUGUGAAUUGGGUUGGAAGCGUUGAACCCUUUGUCUCGGGCCGCAUGUUUAUAUAUAAUGGCAAUGCCUUGGAGUACAAGAAGAGAUCAAGAGAUCGAUCUCAGGUUGGUUUGGUUCGGUACAGGAGGGAGAAGAAGAAAGGAGAUAGAGAUAGAGAUAGAUUACAAUUUGAAUGAAACUAUCCUAUACAUGUUCUAACAAGGGUCUGUGGCUUCAUGAUCAGCGACACCACGAGAUUGGGCAAUUAGAUUGUAUAUAUUUUUAGUUAAAGAGAUAAAGAUCCAGACACCACGUUUAUAUGGAAGGAGACCGCUGGAGAUGAGUAGAUAGAGUUUUUUUAAACAGGGUAUAAUAAAUAGAUAAGAUUGCUUUAGUUUUUUUUUGAGAAACUGAUCAAGAUUGCUUUAGUUUAAGGAGGAAGAAACGGUGGGUUAGUAACAAUAUGAACGUGUCUUACGUGAAUUGAUUUUUACAAUCGACGUGCAUGAUCGUGGGCGUUCCAAAGUUUUUUUUCACAACGGAGCAAAAUAUUAAUGGAGAACUACAUGCGUUGAUCUACACCAUGAUAACCUAGUCCCACCAGAUCAACGGCUUGUAAUUUAUAAUUAACGUGGUAAUUUCUUGGGAGUCACAAAUUAGUAUAGGUAUAGAUAGAUAGAUAGAUAGAUAGAUAGAUAGAUAUGGGGCAAAUCUUUAUAAGGUUAUUGUCUAUUAGGUCAAAAUCAGCUCUGACACUUGACGGUAGGUGUCGGUAGUAAAGUAAGCAGAUCUCGGGUAGGGGAGCCCGAGUUGUGGAUCUCGGGUCGAGGGGUAACAACAGACGAACGAGACAAUCUUUACCUAGGUUCAGGCCCUUUCGAAGAGGUAAAACCCCACAUCUUGUUUUGAUUGUAUUUAGUGGCGAAGCUAGCACGCGACCCUGGGCACUUGCCUGGGCUAGCUGGGUAAGCGACGUUGUACUAUGGUUGUUACAAAUGGCCCAAUCCACCUCUCCAUCGUCUGGUUUCCCGGGCAAAAUUCUUCUGGGGUCCUUUCUCGAUAGUGGGCUUCAUGAAGUGUCUGGCUUCUUGAUAAUCAGCAACGGGCCUUGGCCUACAAAGCGCAGCCAGGAAUGCGUGUUCGUUUACACUAAAAAAAGAUUACCAAUGCGAUUGCUCCACGUCCUAGCCUGUUCGGCUGUUUGCCCCACUCUCCACGACUGCAUAUCAUGGAUGCGGAGACCGACUGGCGGCAAAGAACGGCUGGUGGACGUGCUACUAUUGGUAGCGAGGGGAGCGACUGAAUCCAUCCCCAGAAAGGAUCUUCUACUACUUGUUCUCUCCUUUGUGGUUAGGUCAAAUUGUGAACUGAUCUUGCCAUCCGGGCAUCGAUUUGGGGCUUAAAUAUUGAUGUUAGUACGUGUGGAAUUAUCCAUUGUGAAUCAUCAGUACUCUGUGAGCCUAGUCCUUGAUUUAGUCAUUUUUGUUCUAGAUAGUUGACGGUUAAUUUUAAAAUUUGAACAAUGAAUUUUCAGAGAUUUUUUUAGGGGAAUUAAUUUUAAGAGAUUGGGAGGUAUUUUGUGAGCAAAGCAAGGAAAAUGUGAAUGGUGAGCAACUGAAAACAGAAGUAGAGUCACGUCAAAAAAAGAAAAGAAAAUAGAAGUAGAGCCACAUCCACAUACUAAGUUGCCAAAUGAGUUUAAUACAAAUGAGAUUGAGCGUGAUCCUAGAAAGGGAAACAUUUUAUUUUUGUGAAUACCAUCCUAAUUUCCAUACCAAGUGACGCAAGCAUACAUAUUGAAAUUUGCAAGGCCCAAUUUAACCAGAUCUGACAAAAUUUGUCGUAAUGAACGAAUGGUUUAAUGACUUGAUGGUAUGUUACACCAAGUGUGAGUUAUGGGUAAUGCUACACUUACGUAAUGAAACUUAUGUGUUCUACGUAAAAGAGAACGUGGAUACUUAGGAUUGGAGAAGGGGGAGGAGGGGGCCCCACNNNNNNNNNNNNNNNNNNNNNNNNNNNNNNNNNNNNNNNNNNNNNNNNNNNNNNNNNNNNNNNNNNNNNNNNNNNNNNNNNNNNNNNNNNNNNNNNNNNNNNNNNNNNNNNNNNNNNNNNNNNNNNNNNNNNNNNNNNNNNNNNNNNNNNNNNNNNNNNNNNNNNNNNNNNNNNNNNNNNNNNNNNNNNNNNNNNNNNNNNNNNNNNNNNNNNNNNNNNNNNNNNNNNNNNNNNNNNNNNNNNNNNNNNNNNNNNNNNNNNNNNNNNNNNAAAUCGUUUCAUAGCUUCUCGUAGAUGUAGGAUUAUCGGGGAGUUAUUCAAGUCACUUGAUGAUAGGGAUAUACCAUAAUGAAGUCUUGGGAAGGCCAUUUUCCUCGUGAUAUUCUUUACCACAUGGUUGGUAUGUUUCAUCUGACCAUCUAUAUUCUUCCAAACUAUUGAAUAUAUUAAAAAGUGACAACACUUCAUUUAUGUGAAUUAAAAUUUCAAUUUUUAUAUUGUAGUGUCUUCUAUAGCGUUUGGAUGGUAAUUUAGAUGUCUAUACUUCCGUUGACAACAUGGCGAGUUUGGUAUAUAUGACCUAGUUCUAGGACUUAUGUUGUCAAGUCUCAACUUUAUUUUGGUCUACGAAACUGAAUAUCGAUCUAUUAUAUAUUAGUUAAAUUUUAAAUUACAUCUGUAUUUUCACUUCAUUAUUAAUGUAGAUUAAUGGUUCAGAAGUUUGGAGACGUUUUAUAUGUUAUGUAUCCGAACACCCAAUUUUUAUUUAUAUACUAAACACUUAGGCUCAAGUUUGCCCAGACUUCACAAAAGUUCUGGCUCCGCCACUGAUUGUAUUGAUGAUGAUGUAUCGAGUACAGGCUUGAUCUACCUCAAGAUCGUAUGUCGAGUUCUAACCCUAAGGUGAGUAAUUGCGAUUGUCCCACUACGGGCUAAACCUUCCGGUUUACAUAGGCAUCAGGUGUAUCUAGGGUUACAUAUGGUUAGUUGCCAAUUAGGGAAACACAUGCUGAUAGCUGAAGCAAUCCUUGUGGUACAUGUCAAGUCUUCGGCAGAGUUCAUCUUAAUCACGCCAAGGUUUGAGGCUUCUGGAGUCCUUACUUAUGAGAUCGGUGGGCCAUAAGCUUGGCCCAUGGACUGUGGGCCAACUAGGUUGCUACCCCUGGUCAAGGACACCGUCAGUAGGGUAAGUGGAUUACUGAACAAAUACUACAAGAAAAUAGAUGAUUUCUCUCAUUCCAAAUGUUUCAUAGGGCAUAAAUAGGAUGGCACCUAUGUUUCUUAGAAAAACUUAUAGUCUCCCCACUGGUGACACUAAUAUAGAUUAAUAAAUACUAGAUAGAACUUGGAAAUCCGUUGGUGCUGCCGGGAGCACGCGGUCCUGCGUGCGCUAAUAUUUAUUGAAAUGUCGAAAAAAUCCAACAAAAAUUCUAUGUGUUCUUUGUUAUAUCCAAAAGCUACAUACAAAUUUGUAGGCCAAAAGAUUAAACAUUUUGGUCUAUGCAAAAUAAACAAAAUAAACACCAAAUCUUACCCCAAAAUGUCACCCUAAAUUUAUUUAUUUCACCGGCGGAACACCGCUGCUCCGUUUCACAUUAAAAAUUUCAAGGAUGCUUGUGACACUAAGACGAAUAUCUACAAAAAAAUCAGACUUUUUUUAAAACAUUUACUAUAUUUUUUUACUAUUCAUGCGAGAGCGCGCGCUCCCAGGAGUCAAAACGCCAUUCUCAAACAGAACUAGAUAAAACAGAUACUCACCAUGCCUAUGGCCCACCUACUCACAUACUACUCUCCACGCCAUUAUAUGUAUAUACACAAAUGUAGUGCUGCUAGAGUGUGUGGGUGUCGAAUUCGUCUACAUACACAGAAAUAUACGGAAAUGGCAGCCACAACCCACAACAUGCUGAACAGAUCGAGCUCGCAAGUAAUUAAGCACUCUAUUUCGACCCUAUAUGUGUUAUAGCUAGGAGUAUCAUUGUUUCUAUAUCGGAAAUCAGAAGAAGAAAGGGGCCAAGAAAUAUUUUUUGAAUUUCUCCCCACAUUUUCAUGGAAGAAAACCAUGUGUAUCGAAUACAGUGUUACUCAAAACCAAUGUUUCAUUUUCAGCUACAUUGAUAUACAUUUACAAUGCUAGUGCGCUGCACAACAUCAGACACAAACACAACUGUCCCAAUCAGACUCGGAUUCAGAUGUCUAAUUCGACCAUCAGACAUUUCCGUGUAGCCGAAGACAAUCUGACAUGGAUAUGUGUGUUAAAUUAAUCGUAGUCCUAGAGGAUUGGGCAUGACUGAAAGGUUGACAUGGCAGUUAUCAAUCGGAGAAGGAUACAAGUGUAACAACCGGACUUAUAUUUAUUUGAUCAUCCGACUUAAUAUUUUUGAAGGAAGAACCUACCUCAUGAAACAUAUAUUGGUUAUAUAUAAAUUUACCCCUUAUAGGUUUCUAUACCUACCUAUACUAAUUAGGCACUUCUAAGAAAUUACCAUAUUAAUUAGAAAAUAAGAGCUGUUUAUCUGGUGGGACCGAAUUAUUACGGUGUAGAUUAACCCACAGAAUCAUUUUUUUCCAAAGAAAUCGAAGAUAAAAUAGCAAUAGAUCAAGGGGUUGUGUUUGCGUACGUUCAGAUUCAAUGCAACUAACGCAUGUUGUAGGCCCAACACAUCACGUACCCUCCAUGCCUCCUAAACAAAUCGCGGUUGAUUGUAAAAAAAAUUGCUUGAAGGCCCGCAAUUGUUUUAAUCCACCGUUUCUUCACCUCUAAUCAAGGCAAUCUCUAUCUCUUCAGAAGAAAAAAGGAUCUCUAUCUCUUCCGAAGAAAAACCAAUCUCUAUCUAUUCUUCUACUCCAAGGUCUCUUCCUGUUUAGUACUCCACGACUUCUUCUUCUCCAUGAUCUCUCUCUCUCUCUCUCUCUCUCUCUCUCUCUCUCUCUCUCUCGCCAAUGAAAAACAAAUUCAUGGGGGCAUGGAUUCGGUGUGCUCAUCCAUACAAAGCAGAUCUCCUAAAAAAUUAUAUCCAGGAGUCCUACGACAUAAGGAUUCUGUCCUCGAUAGAACUAUGUCGCAACUGCAAGCUGGAGAAGCCGUCUGUGUCUGUUCAUAUCAACAGUAGCAGGCGGCCACCAAUCUCCUCUCUUUCGAAUCAGGUUCGUGCGUUGCUCAACCAGUAUAUUUACUACAGAAUCCCUUGGUCCACUACGAUUGAUUUGUGCAAGAAAUUUCCAACGCCUGGUCUUAUUUCAUCAAGUACGUACUAAGCAGUCUAUAAACCUACAAAUUAAGUAAUUAUAAAAUAUCAAUGUGCUGCUUAUAAUCUGCACGCGUGUGUACCCUAUAGGUGCAGAUGCCAAAAGUAAUGAACCGACUUUCCAAAAAUCUAGGCUGCUCUUACUGGAAAAACAUAAUCUAAUUUGAGUUGAGUGCAACUCCUCUAGGGCGCCCGGGUUGGAAUGGUAGGUGUUGUGAAGUGUUGCAGGGAGGAGAAAGUGUUGCACCGCGUUGUAUCCUUUAUGCCUUCCCUUGCAAAUGACAUCCGAGGAGCUCAUGGCAAAAAAGAUAAAAAAAAUAGUGUAUGUAUGUGCGCCGCUUCAGGUGGUUUUCAAACCCUCGGAUGUCAUUUCAGCACGAAAAUUUGCAUGCACGUUGCCCACCUGAGAAUCUUCGACGAAUUUUUUUCCAGAUUUUUUUGAUUUUUUGAAUUUACUAUUCAUCAAGGAGUACAUUUAGUUUUGUUUUUUUGCCGCGAGCUCCUCGAACGUCCAAACAUGACAAGAAUUGGCACGCACCUUGUGCACCUGAUUUUCUCUAGCGUAAAUUUUUUUUCAGAUUUUUCAGAUUUUUUGCUAUUUUUUAUUUUAUUGUUCAUCUGUGCAUUGUUCAUCCCGUGGUCAAAACCGGGUUAACUUGGCGGCGAAACCCCGCAGGGACCAAAAGCGGCUGGUUUCGAGAGUUCGUGAUGCAAUCUGUCCGGUUUUAGAGUUGAGGGACUAAAAGUGAGCAAACCGAAGAACUGAGGGACGAAAAGUGGACUUUUCUCAAAUACUUAUCUGAGUGAUUAGAAUUAGACUAUGUGCCACGCCGAGGUUAUACUUGGAGUUAAUGUUGAUCAGCACCAAGGAUGUAUACAUUCAUAUUUUGUUCAUUUUUUUAUGUGUGUUGUCUAUAGUUUUCAUAUGCAACCGUUUUUUAACUGUAGACUUGAGCGAGUUUGAUCUGGACCCAAUGGAUUGAUUAGUCUCUCUUAUGAGAAGGAGAGAAUUCCUUAUUUGGCUCUCUCUUAAAAUUUGGUUCCCUUUUUGGCCCUAAAAAGAAAAAUCUUUCUUUUUUGACACUCAAACUUCAUUUUGUUCCCUUUGUGACAUUUCCGUUAGUUUUGACAACUAACACCGUUAAAUACGACAUGAAAAGUCCAUUUUACCCUUGAUGUAUUUUGUGACCAAAAUUGUGAACUAGAAGUCAAAAGCAAUGGCAAUAUGAACGGGAAUAUAUUACCGAAUGAAACAAAAUCUACUAUUUAGCAUAUCUGCAUAACAAUUUUUAAUUCAAAUAACAUCUUCAAUUUUAAUUGAAAAAUUGGACAGAGCCUCCCUUGUAUUUUGAUGCCAUAUCCUCUGUACAGUUCACAUAUGCACAAAUUAUCACAUAUUUGGUACAGCUUCACAUAUAUGCGAACAAAAGAAUCACACAUACUUGGCCCAGGUUUACAUAUAUGCAAACAGUCAACAUAUUUGGUCCUCCACACACAUAAAGGUGACGUACAAUAGUCCAGGUCCACAACAGGUUACAUAUAGUACGUACAAGAGCCCAGGUCACAUAAACAGCUCAAAAGUUUCCAAAAUGAAACAUGAUAUGGUAAGUAAGAGAGAAAGUAAUCACAUCAGAAUCACAAACUAAGUCUUCUUUUGCUUCGUCUGUUCAUUGAUGGGCUAGCUGGGUUUUUUUUUUGCUACGUGUGCUCAUUGCAGGGCUGUCAAGUGGCACAAUAGGAAGGUGCGGAGUAAUUUCAACAACCUCUUUGCUUUUUCUUCUGGCAUGUACCUUCACAGCAACUUCCAAAUAACGAGGCGUGUACUGCUUUGUGAUUGAUUCAAAAAGUCCUUAUAAUUUGUUAAGUCAGAAUCAAUAACCAUAUCAUAACAAAAGUAUUUGACAUCCUUCCUAGCUUUUUGGGGGUUGCCAAGCAAUUUGAUUUUCAGUAAAUAAGUUGAGUUUGGAUCCACCCUGUGAAAGCAAAAGAUCAAUCUCUAAGUACACUAAUGCAUCUUCAGUCCAUCUCUAAGUACACUUUUUUUAUAUGAACAGUGGUGAAGCAAAUACUCAAAUCUAGAGAAGAGAGGCACUUACCCUUCUAGCCAUGCCGGAGUACUUGCAUCUGUGGCCGUCGCUGUGACGCCCGGAUAAUUAGGCUACAGUAAUCACACGUUAAUGAUGCCACGUCACCAUGGUUACUAUUGUUAAUCUCGCGUUAGUUCAGAACCGAUCCAAAUUCAAAUUUGAAACAAAGGCAAAACAUCAAAAGUUUUCAAACGUUAACACUAAAAUGUUCAAAAUGCGACAAAUAAAUCCUAAGUCAUAAUGGUGGAGGAACCACAUUUUUGUAGAAGGAUUAAAUGCACUAAAAUGGUUCAAACAAUAGCAAAAACAACUAUUUAAACGCCUUUGGUAUUUUAUAAAAUACUAAACUAUUUUAUAUCGGGCCAUAACUUUUUACAGUAGUGGAUUGUUCUGAAACGUUAUUUUAGGGGUUGUAGUCAUAUUUUACUAAACUAAAAUUAAUAUGUAACUAAAAUAAAACAGAAAAGAAAAAUAACGAAAAGUAAAACUAAAAAAGAAGACCAAACCCUCCCCCGGGGCCAACCGGCCCAGCUGGCCACUGGGCUAGCCAGGCCGGCCCACCUACUGGCCUACUUAGGCCACGCUGCUCCCAGCCAAACCCUAACCAACCACCUGCACCCCACUCACUCUCUCCCCCUCCCCCCCGAUCCAGUUCUGGAUCGGGAUCGGGCCAACGACCGCGCCCCGACGUCGGCUUCCCACCCCGUCGCCGCACUCCAACCGCCCCUGGCGCCGCCACCCGCCGGCGGCAAACCCCUCUCGUUCGCCGCACGCCACCGGUCGAGGCCACCUCGCCGCGGCCCGUCAUCGUCCCCCUCCCCAUCGUCGCCGCCUCGCCUCCUUGUCCACUCCCCGAGCGCCGUCAUCGGGCGCCGCCCCGACGUCGAGCUCCUCCGUCCUCGACCUCCUCCUCGCCGGAUCUGCGACGCCGACCCGUCGCCCGACCCCGACUCCUCCCCGCGCCUGCCUCGCUCAACUACAGGGCUUUGUGAGCCCCCUCCCCUUCUCCUCUCUGCCUUCCUCACCCGCCUGUUAGUUCGUCGUGGCGCCGCCGUGCUUGCCCGUGCUCGCGGACACUGCCGCCCCGCUCGUGCCCCGCCACGUCCGUCGCCGUCCGGGCGUGUGCCAAGCCCCGCCCGGCUCGCCCCGCUCACCUGCCGCCGCUCUCCCUCCGCUGUGCAGCCAUGCUGCUGCUGCUGCUCCGCAACGGGCGCCGCUCACCGUGCGUCCGCGCUGUUCGGGUCCCGCAUCGCCGUGCUGCCCCGCACUGGCCCGGUCGCACCACCCCCCUCCAGCCUGCGCCGCCCAUCCCCGGUGCUGCCCCGCCGUGGCCUCGCCGGUGCCAUCUCCGGCGCCCGGCGCCCCUCCGUGCCCACUGGCCCUCGUCCGGGUCGGGCACCUCCAGCGCCCCCUCGUCCGCACCCGCACGCUUGCGCGCCCGCUAACCCGCAUGGACCCCUUGGGUCUAUGACACAUGGGCCCUGCCCAGAACGUUUUUUAUAAAAAAAAUAAUAAGAAAAAGAAAAUAAAUAAAUAAAAUUAGUUAUUAAUUAAUUAAUUAAUUAAGUUAAUUAAUCAUGUUUAAUUAAUCUAAUUAACUAGUUAUAUUAAUUAAACGGUAAUUAGUUUAGCUAAAUCCUAGUUAACCUAAAACAGAGUAUGAUAGGUGGGUCCCACUGGACCCACAUGUCAGUUUGACUUAGUCAACCCCUGUUGACUGCUGAUGUCAACAUGACAUCAUGCUGAUGUCAUUAAUCCUGUUUCGAAUUAAAUUAAAUAAUUAAUUGAAUUCUUGAAAUUAGUAAAAUCUUUAGAUAAUCAUAUCUUUUAAUCCGUAACUCGGAUUAAAUUAUUUUCAACAUGAAAGUAACUCGGAUACGCAGGCCGUUCGUCCGCCACGUAUCCCUAGCAUACCGAACUCGCAACUUUCCCCCUCCGAUUCAUCUGUCCGAAAACACAAAACACCGGGAAUACCUUCCCGGAUGUUUUCCCCCUUCACCGGUACCACCUCGUACCACGUUAGGGCACGCCUAGCACCACGCUUUGUCAUGUCAUGCAUCGUCAUGCAUUUGUUUGCAUUGUAUUUAUUGUUUCUUCCCCCUCUUCUCUCGCUAGACACCGAGACCGACGCCGGUGCUACCCAGUUCGACUACGGUGUUGACGACCACUCUCUCUUGCCAGAGCAACCAGGCAAGCCCCCCCUUUGAUCACCAGAUAUCGCCUACUCUUCUCUAUACUGCUUGCAUUAGAGUAGUGUAGCAUGUUACUGCUUUCCGUUAUUCCUAUCCUGAUGCAUAGCCUGUCCUUGCUACUACUGUUGUUACCAUUACCUGCUAUCCUACUGCUUAGUAUAGGAUGCUAGUGUUCCAUUAGUGGCCCUACACUCUUGUCCGUCUGCCAUGCUAUACUACUAGGCCAUGAUCACUUCGGGAGGUGAUCACGGGAAAAUACUAUAUAGUUUACACAGUUACAUUACCUGUGGUACUGUUCGGAGUUGGGGGCUGAAGGGGCAGGUGGCUCCAUCCCGGUAGAAGUGGGCCUGUGUUCCCGAUGGCCCCCGACUGUUACUUUGUGGCGGAGCGACAGGGCAAGUUGAGACCACCUAGGAGAGAGGUGGGCCUGGCCCUGGUCGGUGUUCGCGGAUACUUAACACGUUUAACGAGAUCUUGGUAUUUGAUCUGAGUCUGGCCACUGGCCUAUACGCACUAACCAUCUACGCGGGGACAAUUAUGGGCACUCGACGUCGUGGUAUCAGCCGAAGCCUUCGUGACGUCAGCGAUUGAGUGGCGCGCGCCGGAUUGGACCGUAAGCCUGCUCUUGUAUUAAGGGGGCUAGUUCUGCUUCCGGCCGCGUACGCAACGUGCAGGUGUGCAAUGGGCGAUGGGCCCAGACCCCUGCGCCAUAGGAUUUAGACCGGAGUGCUGACCUCUCUGUUGUGCCUAGGUAGGGCUGCGACGUGUUGAUCUUCCAAGGCCGGGCAUGACCCAGGAAAGUGUGUCCGGCCAAAUGGGAUCAAGCGUGUUGGGUUAUGUGGUGCACCUCUGCAGGGAAGUUAAUCUAUUCGAAUAGCCGUGAUCUUCGGUAACAGGACGACUUGGAGUUGUACCUUGACCUUAUGACAACUAGAACCGGAUACUUAAUAAAAACACACCCUUCCAAGUGCCAGAUACAACCGGUGAUCGCUCUCUCAUAGGGCGACGAGGGGAGGAUCAUCAGUUAGGAUUAUGCUAUGUGAUGAUACUUGGAGGACUUCAGUCUACUCUGUUCUACAUGCUGCAAGACGGAGGCUGCCAGAAGCGUAGUCUUCGAAAGGACUAGCUAUCCCCCCUUAUCCCGGCUUUCUGCAGUUCAGUCCACAUAUAAUAGCCUUAUUCCAGUUGAUACCAAUGCAUACAUAUGUAGUAUAGCUCCUUGCUUGCGAGUACUUUGGAUGAGUACUCACGGUUGCUUUCUCCCUCUUUUCCCCCUAUCCCUUCUACCUGGUUGUCGCAACUAGAUGUUGGAGCCCAGGAGCCAGACGCCACCUUUGACGACGACUCCUACUACACCGGAGGUGCCUACUACUACGUGCUGCCCGCUGACAACGACCAGGAGUAGUUUAGGAGGAUCCCAGGUAGGAGGCCUGCGCCUCUUUCGAUCUGUAUCCUAGUUUGUUCUAGCCUUCUUAAGGCAAACUUGUUUAACUUAUGUCUGUACUCAGGUAUUGUUGCUUCCGCUGACUCGUCUAUGAUCGAGCUCUUGUAUUCGAGCCCUCGAGGCCCCUGGCUUGUAAUAUGAUGCUUGUAUGACUUAUUUUAUUUGUAGAGUUGUGUUGUGAUAUCUUCCUGUGAGUUCCUGAUCUUGAUCGUACACGUUUGCGUGUAUGAUUAGUGUACGAUUGAAUCGGGGGCGUCACAAGUUGGUAUCAGAGCCGACUGCCUGUAGGAAUCCCCCUUCCCAACUCCUUGGCCGAAGUCGAGUCUAGUCAUUGAAAAACUUUUACUAACAUGGCCGUGUGGCUUACGGGCCCACGUCGCCAUUGGGUGGUAUUAGGAUCUUUUACUGCUUGUCUAUACUCUGGAACUCUGAUCUCUCUUCUAUUUAGGUUAAAUGAAUUUUGCUAAAUCUAACAUUAGGAUCUCAUUAUCACUUUCACCCGGAGAGCCCCUUCAGGCCAGAUGAUCGCCAGUUGCACCAGAAGAUUCUGAAGACACUUCUCUGAUGCUUUCCCGAGACCCUUGUGCCCUUCGUCGUUGCAAUUCCAUACCACCGAUAAUCCCUAUGGAAAGCUACAUACACUUGUUGUCCAUAACUUCAUUCCCAGUUGAUCUUGUUAUUAUAAGAUACCUCGGAAAUUCUCUCUAUUGUUCCGAGAAUACUCUGUAUCUACUGCCUUGCAGUUCAUUAUCGACAUAUACACCCCUACGGAUAAUUUCUCACACUUACCGAGUAUCCGCCCAUCCCUAGUUGUUCAUGUGUUUCACUAAGUUCUUCAAAAUAAUAUUCGAUCUUCCGAAAAUCCUUAGCAGCUUAUUGCUUUUGAAAUUCUUGCUUACAAGCAUUACGAUUAAUCCCAUAAGUCUAGUAAUCUUGUUGGCAUCCAUUGUCAUUAUAAUUUUGAGUCCAUUGAUUCAAUUGUGAUUGCUUGCAAUCCUCAGAAGAAUCUUAGAAUUCUUUCUUCCAGCUCAGACGCCAUUUUAAACAUGAGCUGGAUCUCAACCAAUCAAAUUGUCAUCGAUUGUACCCCUAGGGCUAUUCAUCUUAUCCAUCCCUAAUCAGAGCAUUGCUUCUGACCCCUUGUCUUGGAAUUAAUAAUUCCUUUGCAUUUGAGCUUGAGUUAGUCAGUUAUUUCUAUAAUCUGAUUUCCUCGCAUUCCUUCUUCCUUUGGUUUGAGUACCGAUGCUCACAUCAUAUCCCUUAUGGACCACCAGACCCUUUGUCGGAUUUUAUCUGACAACGUCGUUCAUAUUCAAUAAGCUUGUGAGCCUUUCCUUAGAUACAUAAUGCCUUUGGUAAGUUGUAUCCUUUGCUUUGUCAACCUUGUUCUACUUUCGAGCUUGUAUUAUUUACUCCUGAAGUUUAUGGUAUAUGUUUCUACGAUGCCCUGAUGGGUUGAACCUAUGCCUUCCUUAAUCUUUGUGAACCCGAAAUUUCACGGGUCAUACUUAUCUGGUAUUGCACCAGGUAAAACUUUCAACAACCAAUGUCAUUUUCGAAAAGCGAGAGGUGAAUGGAAGGUUAUACAUUGAAGAAGUGGGAGUCAACCUUGAACUUGGGUUCAUGCCCAUGGACACGAUGUAGAUCCUAUCAUGGAAACUUCAUGUAAUAAUAACUAUUUCCUUGAUAUAAGUUCAUCUAGUAUCCAUGUUUGGUCCUUUGCAACCAUGGUUCCGACCAUGAUUGUUCUCCUUUGAUUCCAUUUCUCAGACAAGAUGAAGUACUUGUCUUCUGCAGAUCAUUUCACGUGUACACCGUCUACUCUGCUCUACCGUCGAGUAUUACACUCUGGUAUCUCAAGAAUAUCACCGAACUACGUAACUUCUUGUGAGUUCUUCAUCAACUAUUAUUUCUCGCUGAUUCCAAUUUUCUCCAGGUUUUGAGUUGUUUGUCACUCGAAACACCGAUAACUGAAUCAAGUCCGCCCUACGGUUCAACUACUCUUUGUAAUCCUUAUUACCUGCGAGUUGUACUCACUGAUGUCAUUCCCAGCCGAUUGGCUAGAUCAUGAUCGUCAUGUUAAAGAUUAAACUGUGCUAGAUGGUCCUUAUUCCCAGAGCACAACUUUCGAUGAUGAGCUAAGCUUACGUCGAUCUUCCUUGUCUUAUCGUUUCACCUCAAACAACAAGCUUGAUUUUGAGUUUGUGUCGUAUCUAUGGUUCCAAUAACCUUUGGCUUCAUCAUUCCUUUGACUUGAUGUCAUCUCUGAUCGAUUACAUCUUCAUAAAAUCUCUCGACAAUGGUGUCGUGAUCAUCAACAUUCUGGGUUCUUUCGAGAUAUCUAUCGAAUUAUUGAUAAGAAAUACCAUCCUUGCCCCUCGAUGAAUUGUGUUAUCAUCGGCUACUUUAUUUCCCCUCACUCCCACACAAACUUGUUCAUGUUUCAUGUAGUACCUUGAGUUUCUUGCUAUCAAGCAUUUGUUCUUCUUUACCUUGGAGUAUUACCAUCUUUUAUGUCAGGAAUGUCGUGAGAAUUUCACCACCUCUUAAAAAUUCUUGAUACUAGUGAUACUUCUUGCCAUCGUAGUUCAUUCCUUGCUCCCCGUGUUAUUUCUUACUCGGGAAACUGACAAUUGAACUAUGACGUGCGAAUUCGAAACUUCUAGCCACCCUAUUGCUUUGAAGUUAAUGGUCGCCAUUUCAUUCUUAGACCAUUGGUUAUCGAAUCACCAUUCUAACACUGAUCAUGCUACCUAUGCCUAUAUUUUGGGCGCACAUUUCAACCAAUGUUUAAUUGUGUAUGUUUUCCUCGAGCAUACAUCAUUAUACCAUUUGAUCUGACAAAUGUUAUCUUCUUGUUCACAUAGUUGUGGAAAUCCAUGUUUUGUUAAUCUCGAUGAAUUGUCGCUGAUUCCAUCAGCCACCUCCUCAUCCUCUCGUUGGUUUACUGAUGAACUCUUGGUUCGGAACUCGCUUCCGUAGUUCAAUUCCCGAGAAUCUUACAAUGUCACCUUGACAAUAUGUGUUGCACCUUUCUUCUCAGGCAUCCUGAGUCUAAGGUAUCCUAACACCAAUUAGAUCUGAAUAUCGGUCAGAUAUGAUGGUUGGAACAUAUUUUCAAGAGUUAUAACAUUGGUCCCUAUAUGCCCUGGUAAGGUGAUGUCAUGCCUAGCACACCUGACCAGAGGACCUAGUGUUAUAGUUUCCUUUUAACAAGGUUAAAUCAUUUUUCCAUGAGGAAAUUGAAUGCCUUGUUUAAUAAGUUUAUCCUGAUGGAUCCUUUGUGUAUCCAAAGUCCGAUCUUUGCUUGAAGACCAUGUCAAUACUAUCUCGAAGCAUGUCUAUGGUACUCCGAUUUUCAACAAGAACAUUUGAAGCCCAAUGCUAAAUGUUUCCUGCUCAAUUAUCCAAACACCGCUGUAUGGGUAAUAUCAUGAAAUUUCUCUCCCCUACCUAAAGAGUUUUCUACAUUAUAUCCUGACAUGGAUAUCAUGCUCUGUUUGUCCUUGGGAAGGUUAUACUCCUGAUAUAUGUGUUUAAACACAUUUUCCAUUCCAUUGUUCUGUUUAAUCUGAUAAUCACAUUUUUCUUUCUAUUGUUUUGUUUAACCUUCUUGAGGUUUAUAUGAUCUAAGCAGUAAUAAGUCACUGCUUUUGUAAGCACCUUGGUGUACAACUUUGUUAGUAAGAACCUGUUACUAUUGUUGAUGACAUUCCGGUAACCACCGAUGGACGAGAACUUUGCCCACUGGUCCGCCUCGUUCAACGAGCAGGAAAAUGGUUCUCUUCGUCCCUCGCCCUUGGUACCUAUCUUGUUGCCGACAUGACCGACAGGCUAUCCUCUGACUUGACUUGCUUAUAUGAUCGUACAAGAUUUCAUCACCCUUUCUACCUUCAACCCACAUGUUGGGCUCAUAACCCACAACUCCACAGGAUCGAAACCUGACUCUUCUGUACAACCCCUCUUCGCAAGGUUGUUCCUCGCGCGUGGCCUCAUAUGUAAUUCAUGGGUCAUCUUCUUAGAAAUCUACUUUCGUAUCAGACGCAAUACUUAUUCUCGUUGCUCUGGACCCCUUUCCCACUUUGUUCACGCAUCAAACGAUUGCCUACCCGCUUAAACUUCUCAUGGUAACUUCUUACUUUGCUCUCGAUUUUUUUUAAGUUUCAGUUCAAGAGUUACUUUCCGCCACCUUCCCCGAUGUUAGCUACCGGAUAAGCAACCGUGGAGAGUUCCGUUCUUUUGAGUUACCCCUUAUCAUUUUACGUAAGUACGAUGAAGUUCUUGAAGAAAGGAUGACGACUUCAUCAUGAUGAGCUGGAGCAGAGAAAUAAAGACAUCAACGAAAGGGAUCAACUUCUUCGAGAAGAGCAACCAAGACCGAGAAGAUCCAUUAGAAUUUCGCAACCACAACUUCCCCCCUUACACCACCUCUUAAAUCUCGGGACGAGAUUUCUUGUAGUGGAGGAGAAUUGUGACGCCCGGAUAAUUAGGCUACAGUAAUCACACGUUAAUGAUGCCACGUCACCAUGGUUACUAUUGUUAAUCUCGCGUUAGUUCAGAACCGAUCCAAAUUCAAAUUUGAAACAAAGGCAAAACAUCAAAAGUUUUCAAACGUUAACACUAAAAUGUUCAAAAUGCGACAAAUAAAUCCGAAGUCAUAAUGGUGGAGGAACCACAUUUUUGUAGAAGGAUUAAAUGCACUAAAAUGGUUCGAACAGUAGCAAAAACAACUAUUUAAACGCCUUUGGUAUUUUAUAAAAUACUAAACUAUUUUAUAUCGGGCCAUACCUUUUUACAGUAGUGGAUUGUUCUCAAACGUUAUUUUAGGGGUUGUAGUCAUAUUUUACUAAACUAAAAUUAAUAUGUAACUAAAAUAAAACAGAAAAGAAAAAUAACGAAAAGUAAAACUAAAAGAAAAGACCAAACCCUCCCCCGGGGCCAACCGGCCCAGCUGGCCACUGGGCUAGCCAGGCCGGCCCACCUACUGGCCUACUUAGGCCACGCUGCUCCCAGCCAAACCCUAACCAACCACCCGCACCCCACUCGCUCUCUCCCCCUCCCCCCCGAUCCAGUUCUGGAUCGGGAUCGGGCCGACGACCGCGCCCCGACGCCGGCUUCCCACCCCGUCACCGCACUCCAACCACCCCUGGCGCCGCCACCCGCCGGCGGCGAACCCCUCUCCUUCGCCGCACGCCACCGGUCGAGGCCACCUCGCCGCCGCCCGUUGUCAGGACCCCGACUCAAUGCCACAUCAAUCUAGCAUGUAACACCUCAUAUCACUUUGCGGCCUCACGCACGGUGUUCCCACGGGUGUCGCCUUACCUUUGCCCGGGACCGUUUGCGUCUUUUGGCACACGUAUAUGAUAGUGUCGCUAGCAUCCAUAUGAUAAGGAGCCCGAGCUGACAUGGCUAGUCGUAAACCCAAAGUGGCCCAAACUUACAGGGACAGGCAUCCAUGACCCAACAUCGAACGUGUCGGUCAUCAGCGAGUGAAUCCAGGCUGUAGCACUGGGCUAGCAGGACUCCGGUGAACCGGGCUGUAGCGGGCUAACAGGACCCCGGUAUCCAUCGCGUGACAUUUCCCCGAAGGGACAGACACAGGAACGAAGAAGGACACAUGCCGGCCAGCCUAAGUGUUCCGGAGCAGUAGCAAGCUACCAUGGCUCAGUGGAAACACUAGGAGACAUUUCCCGGUAAGAGAGGCUACUAAGGAUAAACAACUAGGUAGUCAGAUCCCACACAUACCGAGCAUUUCAAUAGCAUACACACAAUAUGCUCGAUAUGUGCAAUACAACAUGGCAUCACAAGAUGACUCUACGACUCAAGUAUUUAUUCAAUAGGCUCCGAGGAGCGAGAUAUUACAAACAGGGGUCUCACGACCCAACAUUCAGAGCAUACAAGUCAAAACACAAGCGGAAGCUAUCAUGUCUGAGUACAGACAUCUAGAAAUGAAAAAGGCUGAGAGGCCUGACUAUCUACUAGAUCCUGCCGAGGGCUCAAGAUCGUAGCUGAGGUAACAAGCUAAACGUCGAAGUCCAUGCGAAACUACUAGUGAGACCGAAGUCUCUCUGCAAAAACAUAAAAUAGGCAAACGUGAGUACAAAUGUACCCAGCAAGACUUACAUCAGAACUAUCUACAUAUGCAUCAUUAUCAACAAAGGGAUGGUGGGGUUUAACUGCAGCAAGCCAGCUUUGACUCGGUGGCUAUCCUGAACUACGACUGCAAUGUAACUCUUUUGAGGUGGCGCACACGAGUCCACAUAUUCACCAUAUCAAUACACCACUAUGGAUCCGCUCCCGUCUCCCUACGAGAACGCCAUCCAUAGCACUCACGCUUAUCUUGCGCAUUUUAAAGUAUCCACUUUCACUUGUCUAUGAACUGAUAUAAGCAACCCAGAAGUCCUUUACCGCGGACACGGCUAUUCGAAUAGAUGAUAUUAACCCUGCAGGGGUGUACUUCUUCAUACAUGUUUCCACCACUUAGCGUCUGCACACGACAUGUGCUCGGCAGACUUCAAGCGAAAGCCGACGUGGGUGUAGACCACGACCUACCUAAACACCUAAGUCUCUAGUCCAGGUUUAUCGCCUAUUCGGGUUCCAUCCAUGAGGAGAUCCGGCCGGAGUUUCGCUCACAGCCCCAAACGAUGUGAACAGGGUUCCGUGACACCAAACGGGUGCCCGGUAUACCCGGCCACGUGCCUACCGCAUCACAGCCCACCCCUACGGUCAGCGCUGUCCACGGCCUCCAGCAUACUACAAACACCAGAAACUACUUGCAACUCCUGGACAGAGGACAAGGGUGAAUAAGAAGUCGAGCGGGGUCAUAUUUCAGGGCCCAAUGUAUGGUAGUAGCUGAAUCAUGGAUCACAAACACAGAACUCAGUUCCUGAGGACGGCUACAAUGAGACAACCCACCAUGUACUCCUACAUGGCCUCUCACCGCUACCUUUACCAAAUCGUGUUCACACACUUAGCUCACACACAGUAGGACAUGUUCACACACCUCUGAUUCAUCCCCGAUGAAUCAGACCUGACUCGACUCUAAGCAAUAGCAGGCAUGACAAACAAGCAUGAAUGAGUAGGCACAACAGGGCUCAAACAACUCCUACUCAUGCUAGUGGGUUUCAUCUAUUUACUGUGGCAAUGACAGGUCAUGCAGAGGAUAAAGGGGUUCAACUACCGCAGCAUGUAACAGAUGAUUCGGUGUUGUCCUAAUGCAGUAAAAAGAGAGCAGGAGCGAGAGAGUGGGAUUUUAUCGGAAUGAACAAGGGGGUUUUGCUUGCCUGGCACUUCUGAAGAUAACAUUGAGUCUUCGUCAGUGUCAACGAUCGCAUCAUCGGUGUCACGUCUAUCGAGAGGGGACAAUUACCGGCAAAUACAGAAAAGACACGAUCAAUGCAAUGCACAAUAUGAUGCAUGCUAUGACAUGGCAAUAUGAAUGUGUUUUGGGCUAAUGCACCUAAAACCAGAUUAAAUGAAGUUGGUUUGAAUCCAAAAUUCAAAUUCAAACUCCAUAUGGGGUUAUUUAAAUGUCAUUCACUUCAUUUGUCCUAAACAGUAGUGAUAAGUUGUUCUAACAUGCAUGAAAAUGGUACAGAUGGAUUCCUUGAAUUUUUCUGAUAAUUUUUCAUAUAUAAUUUAUUUAAUUUGGAGUUACGGUUAAUUUUCUAUGAUUUUUAGAAGUUUUAGGCAUUUUCUGGAAUUUCCUGAAUAUUUAGAAUUAAAAUAAUUCCAGAAAAUGAAUUAUGGCGUCAGCAUGACCUCAUGCUGACCUCAGCAGGUCAACGGGCGGUCCAGGUCAAACCUGACGUGUGGGGUCCACACGUCAGUGACACAGGGGCUAAUCCCGCGUUGACCCGGGCUUUGACCCACUACGGGGCCCACUGUCAGUGGCUGUGGGGGGGUGUUUAGAGCGUCAUUAGUGCUAAUUAGGCGUGCCACGUCGGCAGUCGCCGGAGUGUCGCCGGCGACGACCACGGCCGACAGCGGAGGUGCGCCGUGCGCUCGCUACGGAGCACCAUUUGACGUGCGGUUUGCUCCUACGGGUUCCUGGGAGGAAGGCGCAUCUAAAGAGGUAAGUGACAGCAGCUGGGGUGGCCGGAGCUGCCGGCGGCGAGCUCCUUUGCGGCUGCCGGAGUUCGGGCAAUCUCGGGGUCGGGGUUAGGAAGCACGGCAGGAGGAGCUGGGGCGUGCUACGGACUCCUGAGAUCACGAUGAGCACGUCAGUGGGCUCGGAUACGAGCUGGGGUGGAAGAAUGGACUGACUCAGAUCAGAAUGUCAUAAGGUAUAAGGAGUAAAAAAAGAGCCUUACGUUCCAACCCACAAACAAUUCCCCUACAUAUAACUAAAGAAUUUCUAGACUCAACAUCGACCAGUUUGGCUUGGAGAACCUACAGGCAGUCCGGCUCUGAUGCCAACGCUGUCAGGACCCCGACUCGAUGUCACAUCGAUCUAGCUGGUAACACCUCAUAUCACUUUGCGGCCUCACGCACGGUAUCCCCACGGGUGUCGUCUUACCUUUUCCCGGGACCGUUUGCGCCUUUUGGCUCACGUAUAUGAUAGUGUCGCUAGCAUCCAUAUGAUAAAGAGCCCGGGCUGACAUGACUAGUCGUAAACCCAAAGUGGCACAGACUUACAGGGACAGGCAUCCAUGACCCAGCUUCGAACGUGUCGGUCAUCAGCAAGUGGGUACGGGCUGUAGCACUGGGCUAGCAGGACUCCGGUAAACCGGGCUGUAGCGGGCUAACAGGACUCCGGUACUCAAAGCGUGACGUUUCCCAGAAGGGACAGACACAGGAACGAAGAAGGACACAUGCCGGCCAGCCUAAGUGUUCCAGAGCAGUAGCAAGCUACCAUGGCUCAGCGGUAACACUAGGAGACAUUUCCCGGUAAGAGAGGCUACUAAAGAUAAACAACUAGAUAGUCAGAUCCCACACAUACCAAGCAUUUCAAUCAUACACACAAUAUGCUCGAUAUGUGCAAAUACAACGAAGCAUCACAACAUGACUCUACGACACAAGUACUUUAUUCAUUAGGCUCCGAGGAGCGAGAUAUUACAAACAUGGGUCUCAUGACCCAACACUCAGAGCAUACAAGUCAAAGCACAAGCGGAAGCUAUCAUGUCUGAGUACAGACGUCUAUAAAUGUAAAAGGCUGAAAAGCCUGACUAUCUAUCAGAUCCUGCCGAGGGCACAAGAUCGUAGCUGAGGUAUCAAGCUAAACGUCGAAGUCCAAGCGGAACUACUAGUGAGACUGAAGUCUCUCUGCAAAACAUAAAAUAGGCAAACGUGAGUACAAAUGUACCCAGCAAGACUUACAUCAGAUCUAUCUACACAUGCAUCAUUAUCAACAAAGGGGAUGGUGGAGUUUGACUGCAGCAAGCCAGCUUUGACUCGGUGGCUAUCCUGAACUACGACUGCAAGUAACUCUUUUGAGGUGGCGCACACGAGUCCACAUAUUCACCAUAUCAAUACACCACUAUGGAUCCGCUCCCGUCUCCCUACGAGAACGCCAUCCAUAGCACUCACGCUUAUCUUGCGCAUUUUAAAGUAUCCACUUUCACUUGUCUAUGAACUGAUAUAAGCAACCCAGAAGUCCUUUACCACGGACACGGCUAUUCGAAUAGAUGAUGUUAACCCUGCAGGGGUGUACUUCUUCAUACAUGUUUCCACCACUUAGCGUCUGCACACGACAUGUGCUCGGCAGACUUCAAGCGAAAGCCGACGUGGGUGUAGACCACGACCUACCUAAACACUCAAGUCUCUAGUCCAGGUUUAUCGCCUAUUCGGGUUCCAUCCAUGAGGAGAUCCGGCCGGAGUUUCGCUCACAGCCCCAAACGAUGUGAACAGGGUUCCGUGACACCAAACAGGCGCCCGGUUUACCCGGCCACGUGCCUACCGCAUCACAGCCCACCCCUACGGUCAGCGCUGUCCACGGCCUCCAGCAUACUACAAACACCAGAAACUACUUGCAACUCCUGGACAGAGGACAAGGGUGAAUAAGAAGUCGAGCGGGGUCAUAUUUCAGGGCCCAAUGUAUGGUAGUAUCUGAAUCAUGGAUCACAAACACAGAACUCAGUUCCUGAGGACGGCUGCAAUGAGACAACCCACCAUGUACUCCUACAUGGCCUCUCACCGCUACCUUUACCAAAUCGUGUUCACACACUUAGCUCACACACAGUAGGACAUGUUCACACACCUCUGAUUCAUCCCCGAUGAAUCAGACCUGACUCAACUCUAAGCAGUAGCAAGCAUGACAAACAAGCAUGAAUGAGUAGGCACAUCAGGGCUCAAACAACUCCUACUCAUGCUAGUGGGUUUCAUCUAUUUACUGUGGCAAUGACAGGUCAUGCAGAGGAUAAAGGGGUUCAGCUACCGCAGCAAGUAACAGAUGAAUCGGUGUUGUCCUAAUGCAGUAAAAGAGAGCAGGAGCGAGAGAGUAGGUUUGUAUCGGAAUGAACAAGGGGAUUUUGCUUGCCUGGCACUUCUGAAGAUAACAUUGAGUCUUCAUCAGUGUCAACGAUCACAUCAUCGGUAUCACGUCUAUCGAGAGGGGACAAAUACCGGCAACACAGAAGGGAACACAAUCAAUGCAAUGCACAAUAUGAUGCAUGAUCAUGACAUGGCAAAUGAAUGUGUUUUGGGCUAAUGCAACUAGCAACAGAUUAAAUGAAGUUGGUUUGAAUACAAGAUUCAAAUUCAAACUCCAUAUGUGAUUAUUCAAAUGCCAUUUAAUUGAUUUGUGCUAAACAGCAGCUAUAAGUUGUUCUAACAUGCAUGAAAAUGGUACAGAUGGAUUCCUUGAAUUUUUCUGAUAAUUUUUCAUAUAUAAUUUAUUUAAUUUGGAGCUACGGUUGAAUUUCUAUGAAUUUAAGAAGUUUUAGGCAUUUUCUGAAAUUUCCUGAAUUAAAAAAAAAUCCAGAAAAUACUUAUUGCGUCAGCCCCACGUCACAGUGACGUCAGCAGGGUCAACUGGGCGCCCCAGGUCAAAUCUGACGUGUGGGGGCCACACGUCAGUGACACAGGAGCUAAUCCCGGUCAAACCCAGCGCUGACUGGGGUUUGACCAGGGGUGGGGCCCGCUGUCAGUGGCCUAGGGGUUGAUUAGUGUGGGGGGGUUAGCCGCUAAUGAUGCCCACGUCAUCAUCACCGGACUUACGCCGCCGGCGACCAAAAUGGCGGCGGCAACGCGCCGGACUUGCGCUAAAGGCGACGGAGGCGGCGGCUGGGGGCACCGGGGCGUAGCCCGGGCUCUCCCACAUCUGAUGGGGUAGGUGGGAGGCUGCGGGAACGCCGGGGCUCGUCGGAACGGAGCUCGCGGCGGCGCCGGAGUUCGGGUGGUAACGGGCGCGAGGCCCUGGUGGGGUUUUGGGCAAGCUGAGCUGCGCAUGGGCUUCCUGUGAGCCCCACGAGCUCAAAGCCGUGCUCGGACGCGACCGAAACAGGCCAUGGCCGCGACGGCAGCAUGGCCGGCGGCAGCGAGCUCCGGUCGUCGGCAAAGUGGCAGCUGCGGUGUGCAAACGAGAGAACGGAGAGGGGGAAACAGCACAGGAGCUCACAGCGGGUGCAGUGGUGGCCUCGGCGAGCUCGGGGAGGCACCGGAGCCGACGAAUUUGACGAAGAUGGCCGGCGGGUCCGAGGUAGAAGAAGACGUCGAUGGCGGCGAUGCGGCACCUCCGGGGCCUCGUGGCUCGUUGAGGAGUAGAGGGAGGACCCGCGGAGCUUCCUGGGGCGUCGGUGAGGCUAGGGGUGGCCGGUGGCCAUGGGUACGGCGACGAUGGCGGCGAGCUCCGCUCGGUGGUGUGCGCGAGAGGGAAACAGAGGAGGGAAUGGGGUCCAGGGGGAGAGAGGGGAGGUGCAGGGGGCGAGGGCGUCUCCGUGGCGUCGCGAGGGAGUCGGGGAGGCUGCCACGGCGAAGCAGGAGGUGGCCGGCGCUCUUCGGGCGCGCACCACGCCUCGCCUCUGCCUACUGCCAGAGGAAGAAGAGGACAAGGGGGGGAAGGAGGUGGGCUGGGCCGCGCUGGGCCGGUCCUGUUGGGCUGCACGGGUAAGUGGCCAGGUAAAACUCUCUCCCUCUCUCUUUUCUUCUAAUUUUGUUUUCUAUUUUGCAGGUUUGUUUUGAAUUUGGUUUUGAAACCAAUUCAAUUUAUUUUGCUUCUGACAAUAUUUUUAGGAGCUAAAAGAAUUAAAACAAUGCUCCACAAAAAUAUUUCAAAAUUAUUGGACCUAUAUUUAUUUAACAGUAGAUAUAAGUCCAAUUCAAAUAGUUAUUGAUUUAAUUCAAAUACCCAAAAUAAAUGUUUCUGAGAUACCGAAAAUAUUGGUUUGGAUUUUACCUCUUGCCAAUAUUUCCAGAGGAUAACAAGAACAUUUUCUUGGACUUAUUUGAGGCAAUUUUUAUCUUGAUCAUUUCAUUUUUUUAAAGGAUUCCGAGGCUUUGAAAAUUCCUCAAUUCAAAUUUCAUUUGAAUUUAAACAUGAUGCUCACAUGAGGUCUAGCCUAGUGCAUUGCCAGAAGCUAGGGAUGUGACAACUCACCCCCACUAAACAAGAAUCUCGUCUCGAGAUUCAAGCGUAGGGUAAGAUGAAGGGGAAACGCAAACUAGUAUAAUCUUCACGAUCGAGGUUGCACUUCAAAUGAACGUUGAUUUGAACACCAUCAUUGUCUUGAAGUCUUGCUCUGAGAAAUCCUGCCAACAUGACCUGGAGAGAAGGAGACUCUAGAAGGGUCGAUCUCCUCGAAGAUCGAACAACUCACGGAAUGAGACAUAGGACCAUCUCUCGGGUUGAGACACGAGAUACACAUCAAGAGGGGUGAAAAGAAACGGAUGACGAAGGUUCACUAGGUAGACAACAAUUCCACACUUAAGAAGGUGGUAAAAUAUUGUCCACGUAGCGAGGAGUUGAGUUUCCAUAAUACCAUAACGAUGCACCUUAGGGAAGGUGACUCAUAGAAAUAUCCCCUUAAGUGGCAAAAAUAAUUACCUUUGAUUCAGAGAUCAUUGAGACUCUUUAAACCAACCUAAGGCAAUUCUCGACCGAUCGUUUGGAGGGGGGGUCGGUAGAAUGGCAUACUCGGACUUGGAUGAUGUGGAUUACCUUGUUGAAGACAACGUAAUGGAUGAAUUUGCUUAUCACCGGAAAUGGAAGAGACCCAUGGUAGAAUGGCACAUUGGCGGUGCAAGCUAGGAACAAAAUGCAAAUGCUGGGAAUGAUUCUGGUAACUGGGGAAGAACCCAACAACAGAGAGUGAAUUCACUGUUUGAAAAGGUCAUAGCAUUGCCGAGGAAACUGAGAGCAAACCCAGCUAGUGCCGAGGAUAACACGUAGCGCUUGUGCGUGCUCUCAAGAACUUGAGCAUUUCCACAAUCAUCAAGAUUCUACCAAUAUCCGUGUCAAGGUUCCUGGCAACACAACUUGCUACCAUGAUGAAUGAUGCAGAUGCAAAGGAAGAUAACACCUUCUCAGAUUUCACCUUAGCGAGGCCAAGCAAAUAAAAUCUGGAUGAUCGACCGAGAGACAUUUAGCACUCCGCUUCUAAUGUUCUCCUUGAUGUGCUAGUAUAACCCAUUCAUAGAUAUGGUUUGAUAUCUAAAACAUCAAGUAAAAGGUCGGACUUCGGGAACACAAAAAUCCAUAGGGGCAACUAGGGAGUAAAUCCUACGAAAUCCUUAGGGGAGGUGGCCAACUUCUUCAAUCAAGAUACUACAAUAAUAGGUCUUCCGGUUGGGUGUGUUGGCCACGACAUCCACUUUACCGGUUUCCAAGGGAUCGAUAUUAUAGUUCUUGGAAAAUGUUCCAAACCAUCAUAUCUGCCUGAGAUUCAGAUCUGGUUGGUGUCAGGAUAUUCCAGACUCAUCGAGUCUAGGAAGGAAAACGAAAGUUUGCAACACAAAUCGACAAGAUGACGUUGCGAGAUUCUCGGGAAAUGAACUACGAUAGUAAGCUCCAAAACAUGAGCUGGUUCUGCUACAAACAUGUGAACACGUUGUCCCAGACAAGCAUGACCAUGUGGUAGUCUUAUAAUAAAACACUACCGAGUUCAGGUGGGGAACCAUCAACGAGGAUAUCAAGAUCCUUGCAUAAGGUAUACUCUUAAGAAGGAACUUCUUCUCCUUGAACAAAUCAAUCAGUGGCUUGGUGUGCUAGGGAUACAUAUAGAUUGAAGGUUGCAAGUCUUCAAACCACAGAAUUCUUCGCACAUGUGCAUGACUGACUUGCGAUGAUUCCAGAGGAAGCAACAUUGACUUUCUCGAGUUCACGGCGGCACCCUGCAUCAAAUGCACACGAACUAGAGGAAGUCACUUCUUACAUCCGAACAUAUGCUUCAUGAGCUAGCAUGAACAAAUGCUUUCAAAAGUUUCUAACACUAGCUUAAUGUUCAGCAAAAUUAUGGAGAAGACAAGGAUGUUGUCAAUGGGCACAACAACAAUUCAUCUGGGUUUCCUUUUAAAAGGAAUUCCAUAGUUAAGUGAACAAGUGAUAGCAUUGGUCAGACCCAAAAGAUAUAAUGGUGUAUGCUCGAGGGAUCAACCACGAGUAAGANNNNNNNNNNNNNNNNNNNNNNNNNNNNNNNNNNNNNNNNNNNNNNNNNNNNNNNNNNNNNNNNNNNNNNNNNNNNNNNNNNNNNNNNNNNNNNNNNNNNNNNNNNNNNNNNNNNNNNNNNNNNNNNNNNNNNNNNNNNNNNNNNNNNNNNNNNNNNNNNNNNNNNNNNNNNNNNNNNNNNNNNNNNNNNNNNNNNNNNNNNNNNNNNNNNNNNNNNNNNNNNNNNNNNNNNNNNNNNNNNNNNNNNNNNNNNNNNNNNNNNNNNNNNNNNNNNNNNNNNNNNNNNNNNNNNNNNNNNNNNNNNNNNNNNNNNNNNNNNNNNNNNNNNNNNNNNNNNNNNNNNNNNNNNNNNNNNNNNNNNNNNNNNNNNNNNNNNNNNNNNNNNNNNNNNNNNNNNNNNNNNNNNNNNNNNNNNNNNNNNNNNNNNNNNNNNNNNNNNNNNNNNNNNNNNNNNNNNNNNNNNNNGUUCCAUCCCACAAUCAAUUCCCUUAUAUAACUAAAGAAUUUCUAGACUCAACUUCGACCAGCUUGGCUUGGUAAUCCUACAGGCAGUCAAGCUCUGAUACCAACGCUGUCAGGACCCCGACUCAAUGCCACAUCAAUCUAGCAUGUAACACCUCAUAUCACUUUGCGGCCUCACGCACGGUGUUCCCACGGGUGUCGCCUUACCUUUGCCCGGGACCGUUUGCGUCUUUUGGCACACGUAUAUGAUAGUGUCGCUAGCAUCCAUAUGAUAAGGAGCCCGGGCUGACAUGGCUAGUCGUAAACCCAAAGUGGCCCAAACUUACAGGGACAGGCAUCCAUGACCCAACAUCGAACGUGUCGGUCAUCAGCGAGUGAAUCCAGGCUGUAGCACUGGGCUAGCAGGACUCCGGUGAACCGGGCUGUAGCGGGCUAACAGGACUCCGGUAUCCAUCGCGUGACAUUUCCCCGAAGGGACAGACACAGGAACGAAGAAGGACACAUGCCGGCCAGCCUAAGUGUUCCGGAGCAGUAGCAAGCUACCAUGGCUCAGUGGAAACACUAGGAGACAUUUCCCGGUAAGAGAGGCUACUAAGGAUAAACAACUAGGUAGUCAGAUCCCACACAUACCAAGCAUUUCAAUAGCAUACACACAAUAUGCUCGAUAUGUGCAAUACAACAUGGCAUCACAAGAUGACUCUACGACUCAAGUAUUUAUUCAAUAGGCUCCGAGGAGCGAGAUAUUACAAACAGGGGUCUCACGACCCAACAUUCAGAGCAUACAAGUCAAAACACAAGCGGAAGCUAUCAUGUCUGAGUACAGACAUCUAGAAAUGAAAAAGGCUGAGAGGCCUGACUAUCUACCAGAUCCUGCCGAGGGCUCAAGAUCGUAGCUGAGGUAACAAGCUAAACGUCGAAGUCCAUGCGAAACUACUAGUGAGACCGAAGUCUCUCUGCAAAAACAUAAAAUAGGCAAACGUGAGUACAAAUGUACCCAGCAAGACUUACAUCAGAACUAUCUACAUAUGCAUCAUUAUCAACAAAGGGAUGGUGGGGUUUAACUGCAGCAAGCCAGCUUUGACUCGGUGGCUAUCCUGAACUACGACUGCAAUGUAACUCUUUUGAGGUGGCGCACACAAGUCCACAUAUUCACCAUAUCAAUACACCACUAUGGAUCCGCUCCCGUCUCCCUACGAGAACGCCAUCCAUAGCACUCACGCUUAUCUUGCGCAUUUUAAAGUAUCCACUUUCACUUGUCUAUGAACUGAUAUAAGCAACCCAGAAGUCCUUUACCGCGGACACGGCUAUUCGAAUAGAUGAUGUUAACCCUGCAGGGGUGUACUUCUUCAUACAUGUUUCCACCACUUAGCGUCUGCACACGACAUGUGCUCAGCAGACUUCAAGCAAAAGCCGACGUGGGUGUAGACCACGACCUACCUAAACACUCAAGUCUCUAGUCCAGGUUUAUCGCCUAUUCGGGUUCCAUCCAUGAGGAGAUCCGGCCGGAGUUUCGCUCACAGCCCCAAACGAUGUGAACAGGGUUCCGUGACACCAAACAGGCGCCCGGUUUACCCGGCCACGUGCCUACCGCAUCACAGCCCACCCCUACGGUCAGCGCUGUCCACGGCCUCCAGCAUACUACAAACACCAGAAACUACUUGCAACUCCUGGACAGAGGACAAGGGUGAAUAAGAAGUCGAGCGGGGUCAUAUUUCAGGGCCCAAUGUAUGGUAGUAACUGAAUCAUGGAUCACAAACACAGAACUCAGUUCCUGAGGACGGCUGCAAUGAGACAACCCACCAUGUACUCCUACAUGGCCUCUCACCGCUACCUUUACCAAAUCGUGUUCACACACUUAGCUCACACACAGUAGGACAUGUUCACACACCUCUGAUUCAUCCCCGAUGAAUCAGACCUGACUCAACUCUAAGCAGUAGCAGGCAUGACAAACAAGCAUGAAUGAGUAGGCACAUCAGGGCUCAAACAACUCCUACUCAUGCUAGUGGGUUUCAUCUAUUUACUGUGGCAAUGACAGGUCAUGCAGAGGAUAAAGGGGUUCAGCUACCGCAGCAAGUAACAGAUGAAUCGGUGUUGUCCUAAUGCAGUAAAAGAGAGCAGGAGCGAGAGAGUAGGUUUGUAUCGGAAUGAACAAGGGGAUUUUGCUUGCCUGGCACUUCUGAAGAUAACAUUGAGUCUUCAUCAGUGUCAACGAUCACAUCAUCGGUAUCACGUCUAUCGAGAGGGGACAAAUACCGGCAACACAGAAGGGAACAGAAUCAAUGUAAUGCACAAUAUGAUGCAUGAUCAUGACAUGACAAAUGAAUGUGUUUUGGGCUAAUGCAACUAGCAACAGAUUAAAUGAAGUUGGUUUGAAUACAAGAUUCAAAUUCAAACUCCAUAUGUGAUUAUUCAAAUGCCAUUUAAUUGAUUUGUGCUAAACAGCAGCUAUAAGUUGUUCUAACAUGCAUGAAAAUGGUACAGAUGGAUUCCUUGAAUUUUUCUGAUAAUUUUUCAUAUAUAAUUUAUUUAAUUUGGAGCUACGGUUGAAUUUCUAUGAAUUUUAGAAGUUUUAGGCAUUUUCUGAAAUUUCCUGAAUUAUAAAAAAAUCCAGAAAAUACUUAUUGCGUCAGCCCCACGUCACAGUGACGUCAGCAGGGUCAACUGGGCGCCCCAGGUCAAAUCUGACGUGUGGGGGCCACACGUCAGUGACACAGGAGCUAAUCCCGGUCAAACCCAGCGCUGACUGGGGUUUGACCAGGGGUGGGGCCCGCUGUCAGUGGCCUAGGGGGUUGAUUAGUGUGGGGGGGUUAGCCGCUAAUGAUGCCCACGUCAUCAUCGCCGGACUUACGCCGCCGGCGACCAAAAUGGCGGCGGCAACGCGCCGGACUUGCACUAAAGGCGACGGAGGCGGCGGCUGGGGGCACCGGGGCGUAGCCCGGGCUCUCCCGCAUCUGAUGGGGUAGGUGGGAGGCUGCGGGAACGCCGGGGCUCGUCGGAACGGAGCUCGCGGCGGCGCCGGAGUUCGGGUGGUAACGGGCGCGAGGCCCUGGUGGGGUUUUGGGCAAGCUGAGCUGCGCAUGGGCUUCCUGUGAGCCCCACGAGCUCAAAGCCGUGCUCGGACGCGACCGAAACAGGCCAUGGCCGCGACGGCAGCAUGGCCGGCGGCAGCGAGCUCCGGUCGUCGGCAAAGUGGCAGCUGCGGUGUGCAAACGAGAGAACGGAGAGGGGGAAACAGCACAGGAGCUCACAGCGGGUGCAGUGAUGGCCUCGGCGAGCUCGGGGAGGCACCGGAGCCGACGAAUUUGACGAAGAUGGCCGGCGGGUCCGAGGUAGAAGACGACGUCGAUGGCGGCGAUGCGGCACGUCCGGGGCCUCGUGGCUCGUUGAGGAGGUAGAGGGAGGACCCGCGGAGCUUCCUGGGGCGUCGGUGAGGCUAGGGGUGGCCGGUGGCCAUGGGUACGGCGACGAUGGCGGCGAGCUCCGCUCGGUGGUGUGCGCGAGAGGGAAACAGAGGAGGGAAUGGGGUCCAGGGGGAGAGAGGGGAGGUGCAGGGGGCGAGGGCGUCUCCGUGGCGUCACGAGGGAGUCGGGGAGGCUGCCACGGCGAAGCAGGAGGUGGCCGGCGCUCUUCGGGCGCGCGCCACGCCUCGCCUCUGCCUACUGGCAGAGGAAGAAGAGGACAAGGGGGGGAAGGAGGUGGGAUGGGCCGCGCUGGGCCGGUCCUGUUGGGCUGCACGGGUAAGUGGCCAGGUAAAACUCUCUCCCUCUCUCUUUUUUUUUAAUUCUGUUUUCUAUUUUGCAGGUUUGUUUUGAAUUUGGUUUUGAAACCAAUUCAAUUUAUUUUGCUUCUGACAAUAUUUUUAGGAGCUAAAAGAAUUAAAACAAUGCUCCACAAAAAUAUUUCAGAAUUAUUGGACCUAUAUUUAUUUAACAGUAGAUAUAAGUCCAAUUCAAAUAGUUAUUGAUUUAAUUCAAAUACCCAAAAUAAAUGUUUCUGAGAUACCAAAAAUAUUGGUUUGGAUUUUACCUCUUGCCAAUAUUUCCAGAGGAUAACAAGAACAUUUUCUUGGACUUAUUUGAGGCAAUUUUUAUCUUGAUCAUUUCAUUUUUUUAAAGGAUUCUGAGGCUUUGAAAAUUCCUCAAUUCAAAUUUCAUUUGAAUUUAAACAUGAUGCUCACAUGAGGUCUAGCCUAGUGCAUUGCCAGAAGCUAGGGAUGUGACAACUCACCCCCACUAAACAAGAAUCUCGUCUCGAGAUUCAAGCGUAGGGUAAGAUGAAGGGGAAACGCAAACUAGUAUAAUCUUCACGAUCGAGGUUGCACUUCAAAUGAACGUUGAUUUGAACACCAUCAUUGUCUUGAAGUCUUGCUCUGAGAAAUCCUGCCAACAUGACCUGGAGAGAAGGAGACUCUAGAAGGGUCGAUCUCCUCGAAGAUCGAACAACUCACGGAAUGAGACAUAGGACCAUCUCUCGGGAUGAGACACGAGAUACACAUCAAGAGGGGUGAAAAGAAACGGAUGACGAAGGUUCACUAGGUAGACAACAAUUCCACACUUAAGAAGGUGGUAAAAUAUUGUCCACGUAGCGAGGAGUUGAGUUUCCAUAAUACCAUAACGAUGCACCUUAGGGAAGGUGACUCAUAGAAAUAUCCCCUUAAGUGGCAAAAAGAAUUACCUUUGAUUCAGAGAUCAUUGAGACUCUUUAAACCAACCUAAGGCAAUUCUCGACCGAUCGUUUGGAGGGGGGGUCGGUAGAAUGGCAUACUCGGACUUGGAUGAUGUGGAUUACCUUGUUGAAGACAACGUAAUGGAUGAAUUUGCUUAUCACCGGAAAUGGAAGAGACCCAUGGUAGAAUGGCACAUUGGCGGUGCAAGCUAGGAACAAAAUGCAAAUGCUGGGAAUGAUUCUGGUAACUGGGGAAGAACCCAACAACAGAGAGUGAAUUCACUGUUUGAAAAGGUCAUAGCAUUGCCGAGGAAACUGAGAGCAAACCCAGCUAGUGCCGAGGAUAACACGUAGCGCUUGUGCGUGCUCUCAAGAACUUGAGCAUUUCCACAAUCAUCAAGAUUCUACCAAUAUCCGUGUCAAGGUUCCUGGCAACACAACUUGCUACCAUGAUGAAUGAUGCAGAUGCAAAGGAAGAUAACACCUUCUCAGAUUUCACCUUAGCGAGGCCAAGCAAAUAAAAUCUGGAUGAUCGACCGAGAGACAUUUAGCACUCCGCUUCUAAUGUUCUCCUUGAUGUGCUAGUAUAACCCAUUCAUAGAUAUGGUUUGAUAUCUAAAACAUCAAGUAAAAGGUCGGACUUCGGGAACACAAAAAUCCAUAGGGGCAACUAGGGAGUAAAUCCUACGAAAUCCUUAGGGGAGGUGGCCAACUUCUUCAAUCAAGAUACUACAAUAAUAGGUCUUCCGGUUGGGUGUGUUGUUCACGACAUCCACUUUACCGGUUUCCAAGGGAUCGAUAUUAUAGUUCUUGGAAAAUGUUCCAAACCAUCAUAUCUGCCUGAGAUUCAGAUCUGGUUGGUGUCAGGAUAUUCCAGACUCAUCGAGUCUAGGAAGGAAAACGAAAGUUUGCAACACAAAUCGACAAGAUGACGUUGCGAGAUUCUCGGGAAAUGAACUACGAUAGUAAGCUCCAAAACAUGAGCUGGUUCUGCUACAAACAUGUGAACACGUUGUCCCAGACAAGCAUGACCAUGUGGUAGUCUUAUAAUAAAACACUACCGAGUUCAGGUGGGGAACCAUCAACGAGGAUAUCAAGAUCCUUGCAUAAGGUAUACUCUUAAGAAGGAACUUCUUCUCCUUGAACAAAUCAAUCAGUGGCUUGGUGUGCUAGGGAUACAUAUAGAUUGAAGGUUGCAAGUCUUCAAACCACAGAAUUCUUCGCACAUGUGCAUGACUGACUUGCGAUGAUUCCAGAGGAAGCAACAUUGACUUUCUCGAGUUCACGGCGGCACCCUGCAUCAAAUGCACACGAACUAGAGGAAGUCACUUCUUACAUCCGAACAUAUGCUUCAUGAGCUAGCAUGAACAAAUGCUUUCAAAAGUUUCUAACACUAGCUUAAUGUUCAGCAAAAUUAUGGAGAAGACAAGGAUGUUGUCAAUGGGCACAACAACAAUUCAUCUGGGUUUCCUUUUAAAAGGAAUUCCAUAGUUAAGUGAACAAGUGAUAGCAUUGGUCAGACCCAAAAGAUAUAAUGGUGUAUGCUCGAGGGAUCAACCACGAGUAAGACAACAUUACGAAUAUCGUUGGUUCUGGUCUGAUUGGAUGAUAGCCCAUACUCAAUCAAAGGUUUGGGUAAGAUAAUAGAUCCAACAAUUGUUCACAAGGACCAAUUGAUGAAGAUAUCAUCUUUCUUCAACACACACACACACACAAAAAGAUAUCCCUUAACAUGAACUAAGUCGGACAAGCUUUUAUCUUCCAACUCUCCAAGUUGUUGUUUAGCUUAUCCAACUAGCUCAGGGUAUCCAACACGGAUUCUUGGAGAAGGGGUGGUUUACAGGAAUAAACCAACUUGAUCACGAACUCAACAUAGCGGUCAGGUGACAACCUGGUAAUACUUCUGAGAAGAUAUUCAGAAAAUCACGAACCACCGGUAUGUUACUAAGCUCGAGAACAAUCUUGCUUUUCAGGGCAAGACGAUAUGAUCAAUAGAGCAAGGAUUUGAAAUAAUCCUAACUCAUCGAUCGAGGAGUGAACCAGGAGAAUGGACUAGGUAGCACAAUCAAUCUUAGAAUGAUGAUUCAAUAACCAACACACUAAGAAUGAAAUUAUUGUCCUUUAACUACCCAACAACGAGGUUGCUAGGCGUAUUGAUUUCACACAUCACAAUUCAUUUGUCGGUAUUCCGGUUGCAUCAACACGAAGACCGAGGAAUGACUAAUGAUGGCAAGAAGUAUCACUGUACCAAGAGUUCAUAGGAUGGUGUGCAAUUCCUAUAACAAUCCCGAUAUAAAGAUGGUAAUACUCCAAGGUAGAACAGAACAAAAGCUGGAUUAGCAAUUUGAUCUGCGGAGCACAACUUCUUUGACCCAAUCCUGGAUAUGGAAGAGGUACUGGAGUUUGUUUCUCCUAGUCAUUCUGCGAUAGAAUGGCUUGACGGACCACAAGAGUAAUAGGCAUCGAUAAACGAACGCACGCAUACUCUUGACUAUCAAUUGAUAGACGAGGGUCAGAAUGCAACUAAAGAGAACAACUCAAAGGAACAUAUAAUUUUCUGAGUUGUGGAUGCAUAGAUUAGUAUGUCGAACCAAGUUCAACAUAUUUCUUCUGGAUAACCCAUGCAGAAAGGUAGAACUGGCAGAGUCACGAUUUAUGAAUGGAGAACUCCUCAAGAAUAAUCCUGUUGUGAUAUUUCAGUUCAACGAGGAACUUCUGCCAUAAGUAGUUCAUGGUAUUUGGAAGAAGAAGAUACCACGAACUUCAAGGACUAUCGCAAAGGUUACUAAUAUCCUAAAGGCACUAGCAAUUACUAUCAACAUGAAGUAGGUAGAGUGAAUCUCGGGUUCAAGAACCCAGGAACAGAAUACCUAUUACUAAGUAGCAUCACGGGAUGCUUUCGAGAAUAAAAGCCAGAAUCAUCACACUGGGAUCACAAAACAUUGCUAGAUUACUAGGUGACUCCCUAAACACCUAGGGCCAUAAUAGUAACUCCAACAUAAUGUCAAGGCAAUAGAAUACCUCAACUCAACAAUUAGUGUGAUUGAGCUGGCAUAAAGGAGCAUCGAAACCAGAGGAAAAGGAUUUUGCAAAUGCAUCAGACUAUUUAGAAACCUGGAAUGACUCGGACAGCAUAACGGCUGUAAAUGCUCAGAAGAGAUUUGAGACAUUCACAAAAAUGGUGGCAUAACCACUCAGAAGCACAAUAUCAAGGUUUCGAGAUCAAUAAUUAACAUACAGAGGUAGAAAUGAACUGAGGCUUAAUCCAACAAUCUUAUAAGUCUACGGACUAGUAAUACGUGAUCCUGAUAGAAAGAAGAGAAAGCCUAGUUUCUUAACCCCGUAGGAAAGAUAAUAUGACUCAGAUCAGAAGGCCAUGAGGUAUAAGGAGUAAAAAGAGCCUUACGUUCCAUCCCACAAUCAAUUCCCUUAUAUAACUAAAGAAUUUCUAGACUCAACUUCGACCAGUUUGGCUUGGUAAACCUACAGGCAGUCAAGCUCUGAUACCAACGCUGUCAGGACCCCGACUCAAUGCCACAUCGAUCUAGCAUGUAACACCUCAUAUCACUUUGCGGCCUCACGCACGGUAUUCCCACGGGUGUCGCCUUACCUUUGCCCGGGACCGUUUGCGCCUUUUGGCACACGUAUAUGACAGUGUCGCUAGCAUCCAUAUGAUAAGGAGCCCGGGCUGACAUGGCUAGUCGUAAACCCAAAGUGGCACAAACUUACAGGGACAGGCAUCCAUGACCCAGCAUCGAACGUGUCGGUCAUCAGCGAGUGAAUCCAGGCUGUAGCACUGGGCUAGCAGGACUCCGGUAUUCAUCGCGUGACAUUUCCCCGUAGGGACAGACACAGGAACGAAGAAGGACACAUGCCGGCCAGCCUAAGUGUUCCGGAGCAGUAGCAAGCUACCAUGGCUCGGUGGAAACACUAGGAGACAUUUCCCGGUAAGAGAGGCUACUAAAGAUAAACAACUAGAUGGUCAGAUCCCACACAUACCAAGCAUUUCAAUAGCAUACACACAAUAUGCUCGAUAUGUGCAAAUACAACAUGGCAUCACAACAUGACUCUACGACUCAAGUAAUUUAUUCAAUAGGCUCCGAGGAGCGAGAUAUUACAAACAUGGGUCUCAUGACCCAACAAUCAGAGCAUACAAGUCAAAACACAAGCGGAAGCUAUCAUGUCUGAGUACAGACAUCUAUAAAUGAAAAAGGCUGAGAAGCCUGACUAUCUAUCAGAUCCUGCCGAGGGCACAAGAUCGUAGCUGAGGUAUCAAGCUAAACGUCGAAGUCCACGCGAAACUACUAGUGAGACCGAAGUCUCUCUGCAAAAACAUAAAAUAGGCAAACGUGAGUACAAAUGUACCCAGCAAGACUUACAUCAGAACUAUCUACAUAUGCAUCAUUAUCAACAAAGGGAUGGUGGGGUUUAACUGCAGCAAGCCAGCUUUGACUCGGUGGCUAUCCUGAACUACGACUGCAAUGUAACUCUUUUGAGGUGGCGCACACGAGUCCACAUAUUCACCAUAUCAAUACACCACUAUGGAUCCGCUCCCGUCUCCCUACGAGAACGCCAUCCAUAGCACUCACGCUUAUCUUGCGCAUUUUAAAGUAUCCACUUUCACUUGUCUAUGAACUGAUAUAAGCAACCCAGAAGUCCUUUACCGCGGACACGGCUAUUCGAAUAGAUGAUGUUAACCCUGCAGGGGUGUACUUCUUCAUACAUGUUUCCACCACUUAGCGUUUGCACACGACAUGUGCUCGGCAAACUUCAAGCGAAAGCCGACGUGGGUGUAGACCACGACCUACCUAAACACUCAAGUCUCUAGUCCAGGUUUAUCGCCUAUUCGGGUUCCAUCCAUGAGGAGAUCCGGCCGGAGUUUCGCUCACAGCCCCAAACGAUGUGAACAGGGUUCCGUGACACCAAACGGGCGCCCGGUUUACCCGGCCACGUGCCUACCGCAUCACAGCCCACCCCUACGGUCAGCGCUGUCCACGGCCUCCAGCAUACUACAAACACCAGAAACUACUUGCAACUCCUGGACAGAGGACAAGGGUGAAUAAGAAGUCGAGCGGGGUCAUAUUUCAGGGCCCAAUGUAUGGUAGUAACUGAAUCAUGGAUCACAAACACAGAACUCAGUUCCUGAGGACGGCUGCAAUGAGACAACCCACCAUGUACUCCUACAUGGCCUCUCACCGCUACCUUUACCAAAUCGUGUUCACACACUUAGCUCACACACAGUAGGACAUGUUCACACACCUCUGAUUCAUCCCCGAUGAAUCAGACCUGACUCAACUCUAAGCAGUAGCAGGCAUGACAAACAAGCAUGAAUGAGUAGGCACAUCAGGGCUCAAACAACUCCUACUCAUGCUAGUGGGUUUCAUCUAUUUACUGUGGCAAUGACAGGUCAUGCAGAGGAUAAAGGGGUUCAGCUACCGCAGCAAGUAACAGAUGAAUCGGUGUUGUCCUAAUGCAGUAAAAGAGAGCAGGAGCGAGAGAGUAGGUUUGUAUCGGAAUGAACAAGGGGAUUUUGCUUGCCUGGCACUUCUGAAGAUAACAUUGAGUCUUCAUCAGUGUCAACGAUCACAUCAUCGGUAUCACGUCUAUCGGGAGGGGACAAAUACCGGCAACACAGAAGGGAACACAAUCAAUGCAAUGCACAAUAUGAUGCAUGAUCAUGACAUGGCAAAUGAAUGUGUUUUGGGCUAAUGCAACUAGCAACAGAUUAAAUGAAGUUGGUUUGAAUACAAGAUUCAAAUUCAAACUCCAUAUGUGAUUAUUCAAAUGCCAUUUAAUUGAUUUGUGCUAAACAGCAGCUAUAAGUUGUUCUAACAUGCAUGAAAAUGGUACAGAUGGAUUCCUUGAAUUUUUCUGAUAAUUUUUCAUAUAUAAUUUAUUUAAUUUGGAGCUACGGUUGAAUUUCUAUGAAUUUUAGAAGUUUUAGGCAUUUUCUGAAAUUUCCUGAAUUAUAAAAAAAUCCAGAAAAUACUUAUUGCGUCAGCCCCACGUCACAGUGACGUCAGCAGGGUCAACUGGGCGCCCCAGGUCAAAUCUGACGUGUGGGGGCCACACGUCAGUGACACAGGAGCUAAUCCCGGUCAAACCCAGCGCUGACUGGGGUUUGACCAGGGGUGGGGCCCGCUGUCAGUGGCCUAGGGGGUUGAUUAGUGUGGGCGGGGUUAGCCGCUAAUGAUGCCCACGUCAUCAUCGCCGGACUUACGCCGGCGGCGACCAAAAUGGCGGCGGCAACGCGCCGGACUUGCGCUAAAGGCGACGGAGGCGGCGGCUGGGGGCACCGGGGCGUAGCCCGGGCUCUCCCGCAUCUGAUGGGGUAGGUGGGAGGCUGCGGGAACGCCGGGGCUCGUCGGAACGGAGCUCGCGGCGGCGCCGGAGUUCGGGUGGUAAUGGGCGCGAGGCCCUGGUGGGGUUUUGGGCAAGCUGAGCUGCGCAUGGGCUUCCUGUGAGCCCCACGAGCUCAAAGCCGUGCUCGGACGCGACCGAAACAGGCCAUGGCCGCGACGGCAGCAUGGCCGGCGGCAGCGAGCUCCGGUCGUCGGCAAAGUGGCAGCUGCGGUGUGCAAACGAGAGAACGGAGAGGGGGAAACAGCACAGGAGCUCACAGCGGGUGCAGAGGUGGCCUCGGCGAGCUCGGGGAGGCACCGAAGCCGACGAAUUUGACGAAGAUGGCCGGCGGGUCCGAGGUAGAAGACGACGUCGAUGGCGGCGAUGCGGCACGUCCGGGGCCUCGUGGCUCGUUGAGGAGGUAGAGGGAGGACCCGCGGAGCUUCCUGGGGCGUCGGUGAGGCUAGGGGUGGCCGGUGGCCAUGGGUACGGCGACGAUGGCGGCGAGCUCCGCUCGGUGGUGUGCGCGAGAGGGAAACAGAGGAGGGAAUGGGGUCCAGGGGGAGAGAGGGGAGGUGCAGGGGGCGAGGGCGUCUCCGUGGCGUCGCGAGGGAGUCGGGGAGGCUGCCACGGCGAAGCAGGAGGUGGCCGGCGCUCUUCGGGCGCGCGCCACGCCUCGCCUCUGCCUACUGGCAGAGGAAGAAGAGGACAAGGGGGGGAAGGAGGUGGGCUGGGCCGCGCUGGGCCGGUCCUGUUGGGCUGCACGGGUAAGUGGCCAGGUAAAACUCUCUCCCUCUCUCUUUUUUUUAAUUCUGUUUUCUAUUUUGCAGGUUUGUUUUGAAUUUGGUUUUGAAACCAAUUCAAUUUAUUUUGCUUCUGACAAUAUUUUUAGGAGCUAAAAGAAUUAAAACAAUGCUCCACAAAAAUAUUUCAGAAUUAUUGGACCUAUAUUUAUUUAACAGUAGAUAUAAGUCCAAUUCAAAUAGUUAUUGAUUUAAUUCAAAUACCCAAAAUAAAUGUUUCUGAGAUACCGAAAAUAUUGGUUUGGAUUUUACCUCUUGCCAGUAUUUCCAGAGGAUAACAAGAACAUUUUCUUGGACUUAUUUGAGGCAAUUUUUAUCUUGAUCAUUUCAUUUUUUUUAAAGGAUUCUGAGGCUUUGAAAAUUCCUCAAUUCAAAUUUCAUUUGAAUUUAAACAUGAUGCUCACAUGAGGUCUAGCCUAGUGCAUUGCCAGAAGCUAGGGAUGUGACACCCGUCAUCGUCCCCCACCCCACCGUCGCCGCCUCGCCUCCUCGUCCACUCCCCGAGCGCCGUCAUCGGGCGCCGCCCCGACGUCGAGCUCCUCCGUCCUCGACCUUCUCCUCGCCGGAUCUGCGACGGCGACCCAUCGCCCGACCCCGACUCCUCCCCGCGCCCGCCUCGCUCAACUACAGGGCUUUGUGAGCCCCCUCCCCUUCUCCUCUCUGCCUUCCUCACCCGCCUGCUAGUUCGUCGUGGCGCCGCCGUGCUCGCCCAUGCUCGCGGACACUGCCGCCCCGCUUGUGCCCCGCCACGUCCCUCGCCGUCCGGGCGUGUGCCAAGCCCCGCCCGGCUUGCCCCGCUCACCUGCCGCCGCUCUCCCUCCGCUGUGCAGCCCUGCUGCUGCUGCUGCUCCGCAGCGGGCGUCGCUCACCGCGCGUCCGCGCUGUUCGGGUCCCGCAUCGCCGUGCUGCCCCGCACUGGCCCGGUCGCACCACCCCCCAGCCUGCGCCGCCCAGCCCCGGUGCUGCCCCGCCGUGGCCUCGCUGGUGCCAUCUCCAGUGCCCGGCGCCCCUCCGUGCCCGCUGGCCCUCGUCCGGGUCGGGCACCUCCAGCGCCCCCUCGUCCGCACCCGCACGCUUGCGCGCCCGCUAACCCGCAUGGACCCCGUGGGCCUAUGACACAUGGGCCCUGCCCAGAACGUUUUUUAUAAAAAAAUAAGAAGAAAAUAAAUAAAUAAAAUUAAUUAUUAAUUAAUUAAUUAAUUAAUUAAGUUAAUUAAUCCUGUUUAAUUAAUCUAAUUAACUAGGUAGAUUAAUUAAACGGUAAUUAGUUUAGCUAAAUCCUAGUUAACCUAAAACAGAGUAUGACAGGUGGGUCCCACUGGACCCACAUGUCAGUUUGACUUAGUCAACCCCUAUUGACUGCUGAUGUCAACAUGACAUCAUGCUGAUGUCAUUAAUCCUGUUUCAAAUUAAAUUAAAUAAUUAAUUGAAUUCUAGAAAUUAGUAAAAUCUUUAGAUAAUCAUAUCUUUUAAUCCGUAACUCGGAUUAAAUUAUUUUCAACAUGAAAGUUGCUCAGAACGAUGAGACGAACCCGGGUACGCAGGUCGUUCGUCCGCCACGUAUCCCUAGCAUACCGAACUCACAACUUUCCCCCUCCGAUUCAUCUGUCUGAAAACGCAAAACACCGGGAAUACCUUCCCGGAUGUUUCCCCCUUCACCGGUACCACCUCGUACCGCGUUAGGGCACGCCUAACACCACGCUUUGUCAUGUCAUGCAUCGUCAUGCAUUUGUUUGCAUUGUAUUUAUUGUUUCUUCCCCCUCUUCUCUCGCUAGACACCGAGACCGACGCCGCUGCUACCCAGUUCGACUACGGUGUUGACGACCACUCUCUCUUGCCAGAGCAACCAGGCAAGCCCCCCCUUUGAUCACCAGAUAUCGCCUACUCUUCUCUAUACUGCUUGCAUUAGAGUAGUGUAGCAUGUUGCUGCUUUCCGUUAUUCCUAUCCUGAUGCAUAGCCUGUCCUUGCUACUACUGUUGUUACCAUUACCUGCUAUCUCACUGCUUAGUAUAGGAUGCUAGUGUUCCAUCAGUGACCCUACACUCUUGUCCGUCUGCCAUGCUAUACUACUGGGCCGUGAUCACUUCGGGAGGUGAUCACGGGAAAAUACUAUAUAUUUAUACAGUUACAUUACCUGUGGUACUGUUCAGAGUUGGGAGCUGAAGGGGCAGGUGGCUCCAUCCCGGUAGAGGUGGGCCUGGGUUCCCGACGGCCCUCGACUGUUACUUUGUGGUGGAGCGACAGGGCAGGUUGAGACCACCUAGGAGAGAGGUGGGCCUGGCCCUGGUCGGUGUUCGCGGAUACUUAACACGUUUAACGAGAUCUUGGUAUUUGAUCUGAGUCUGGCCACUGGCCUAUACGCACUAAGCAUCUACGCGGGGACAGUUAUGGGCACUCGAUGUCAUGGUAUCAGCCGAAGCCUUCGUGACGUCAGCGACUGAGUGGCGCGCGCCGGAUUGGACCGUAAGCCUGCUCUUGUAUUAAGGGGGCUAGUUCUGCUUCCGGCCGCGUACGCAACGUGCAGAUGUGCAAUGGGUGAUGGGCCCAGACCCCUGCGCCAUAGGAUUUAGACCGGCGUGCUGACCUCUCUGUUGUGCCUAGGUAGGGCUGUGACGUGUUGAUCUUCCGAGGCCGGGCAUGACCCAGGAAAGUGUGUCCGGCCAAAUGGGAUCGAGCGUGUUGGGUUAUGUGGUGCACCCCUGCAGGGAUGUUAAUCUAUUUGAAUAGCCGUGAUCUUCGCUAACAGGACGGCUUGGAGUUGUACCUUGACCUUAUGACAACUAGAACCGGAUAAUUAAUAAAAACACACCCUUCCAAGUGCCAGAUACAACCGGUGAUCGCUCUCUCACAGGGCGACGAGGGGAGGAUCAUCGGUUAGGAUUAUGCUAUGUGAUGAUACUUGGAGGACUUCAGUCUACUCUGUUCUACAUGUUGCAAGACGGAGGCUGCCAGAAUAGUUGUCUUCGAAAGGACUAGCUAUCCCCCCUUAUCCCGGCUUUCUGCAGUUCAGUCCACAUAUAAUAGCCUUAUUCCAGUUGAUACCAAUGCGUACAUAUGUAGUAUAGCUCCUUGCUUGCGAGUACUUUGGAUGAGUACUCACGGUUGCUUUCUUCCUCUUUUCCCCCUAUCCCUUCUACCUGGUUGUCGCACCCAGAUGUUGGAGCCCAGGAGCCAGACGCCACCUUCGACGACGACUCCUACUACACCGGAGGUGCCUACUACUACGUGCUGCCCACUGACGACGACCAGGAGUAGUUUAGGAGGAUCCCAGGCAGGAGGCCUGCGCCUCUUUCGAUCUGUAUCCUAGUUUGUGCUAGCCUUCUUAAGGCAAACUUGUUUAACUUAUGUCUGUACUUAGAUAUUGUUGCUUUCGCUGACUCGUCUAUGAUCGAGCUCUUGUAUUUGAGCCCUCGAGGCCCCUGGCUUGUAAUAUGAUGCUUGUAUGACUUAUUUUAUUUGUAGAGUUGUGUUGUGAUAUCUUCCCGUGAGUUCCUGAUCUUGAUCGUACACGUUUGCGUGUAUGAUUAGUGUACGAUUGAAUCGGGGGCGUCACAGUCGCGCCUUGACCGCCCUCCACCUCCCAGCCAUGGCCGCCCUCUAGCGCCGCACCUUGACCGCCCUCCACCUCCCCGCCAUGGCUGCCCUCCGACGCCGCGCCUUGACCGUCCUACUUCAUCCCGCCAUGGCCGCCCUUCGCCCGCCCGCCAUGGUCGCCCGAGGACGAGGCCGGUGCAGCGCUGUGGCCUUCCUCCACCUCGCCGUCCAUCCCUUCACCUGUAGCAACGUCGACCACGCCCUCCUCCAUCCGCUCUUCUAGCCUCGCGCCGCCGCUGUGAGGAUUAGGGAUCGACCGCCGCCACUGUGUAGAGUUAGGGAUCAAGGAGAAGGGGAAUCUGGAGAAGAAGGGCUCGUGACGGUUCGAUGUGCGGGAUUUUGUUUUUCUGUUUUUUUUUUCAACGUCCUACAACAGGGAAAAAAAUGACUUUUCAAGUCGCGGUUGACGGUGUUAACAGCAAAAACUAACGGAAGUGUCAAAGAAGGAAGAAAAUGAAGUUGUUGUGUCAAAAAAGUAAAAAUAAAAUUUUUAGGGCCAAAAAAGGAACCAAAUUUUAAUAAAGGGCCAAAUAAGGAAUUCUCUCUAUGAGAAGUGCUGACUUUGUUUGUUGAUUUAGCAGAAGCAAGUUUACUUCAGACAAUAUUCAUGCCAUCAAUCUCAUACAUAAAGCGUCAAUAAAGGAAUCCGCAACAAAUCAUUAACAAUUAUAUAUUGGUCUAGCUUUUGUCACACGGAAAAAAUUAUCAACCAACAGGCUGGAUCGUCUACUUACUUGGGUCACCAUGAUCCACUAGCGGCACUAGCGAGUCCUUCCAUCGAUUCCUCUUCUGCUUCUCAUCAUGGUAUAUGCAUGCCGUGAGCCUGCAGGAAGGCCUCUCGGUGCAGGUACCAGUAACUUACAUGAAAUGUAUUUUUCCAAUCUAAUUUUUAUGUUCUUGAAUGAUGGCCUUCUUAGUAUAGUAUGUAAUGCCAAUUUGUAAAAAAAAGGUAUAGCAGGUAUGUCCACGGAGAUCAAUUAAUGAUAGAGUUCUCUUUCAAUUGCCGGCACUGCUUUGUCGUAUCACUAUGUAUGUACACCACCAGGAAGCAUGCAACCACAUAUGGAACGACCAAGAGAGUGGAUGUACCGUGUAUCCGAAAUUGGAAGGUUGCCUUUUCCUUGGAUUUGCGGCCUCAAGUCAUUGGGUAGAACCAUCUGCAUCGUGUUGUUUCCUGGAGAUCAAAAUUUCAAAGCGUUGCUUUAGUUUCAUGGAUUUGUAGCCCAAGAGCUGGCAGUUAGUGAACGAGGAGCAGGUGCCACAUAUUGAGAUGAUGGCUUCAUCUAUUAGAAAUAAGGAGUGGGUGUGCUCUUGAUUUCAUCGGAACUUGGAAGUGAUCUUCCUGAUUUCACCUGCAUGUCCAGAUAAUGAAAGGUGUCUUUUUCUUGGAUCUGUGGCUUCAUGUGAUUAGAAUAGAACCAUCUGCAUCGUGUUGUUUCCUGGAGAUCAGAGUUUUGCAUUGCUUUGUUUCAUGUAGUUUGUAGCGCAAGAAGUAGCAGUAGUGAACGAGGAGUAGGUGUGACAUAUAGAGAAUAUGGCUUCAUACAUUAGAAAUCUGGAGUAGAUGUGUUAUGGAUUUUGUAUGAACUUAGAAGUGGUAUUCCUGAUAUCACUUGCAGUUCGAACAAAAGCUUCUCCCUCACUUUCAGGGAUUGUUGCCCGCUUCCUCCAAGUAACACAUACAAAUAUUUCAUUAGGAAAUGAAGUCACAUAGUUUUGCAUUACGAGAAUCGGUGUGCUCAAACAAAAUAAGUCGUAAAUGCAUUUUAUUUGUAGUUUUCUUUAUGUUGAUAUCAACAUGACAUAAUAAAAGAAAUUCACUUUAAUUUGACAUUUCAAAUGCAAGAAAGCAAAAUUACUUAUUUUGUGCACUAUAUUUCACAUAUUUAUCUAAAUAAAUACUCCCUCCAUUCCAAAAUAUAGUGCGCCCGCGCUUCCCGAGGUCCAACUUUGACCGUAAAUUUAACCAACGAGACCAACUGCGGCGGGAGAAAAAAUUAUAUAAUUGAAAACUUCUUUCGAAUACGAAUUCACUGAUAUAAUUUUUGCUCCCGCCGCAAUCGGUCUUGGUAGUUAAAUUUAUGGUCAAAGUUGAAGCACGUGGAUAGAGGAAGCACUACAUUGUGGAAUGGAGGGAGUAUAUCACAAGUUGACACCGAAAUGCAUGCUCGCACAAACUUGAUGUAUACCUAAUUUAUAUAAAAUUGAUAAGUAAGAAUUAGCUAUGUCUUGAUAUGAUAAAUUUGUGUGAGAAUCAUCGUCUAUUGCAUAAUCACUUGCAUCCAUAACCAGAUCAUGUGGAGUAUCCUAAAAAAAUCAUAAUAAUUCUUGACAUCCCCAUUUAUUAGAAUGAUAUAUCACUGUAUGCAUUCGUAUAACUUAUGAUAUUUUGUCAUCAGCAUGUUUGUUCCUUUCUCACUAAUCUUUCAUUAAUUUAAUUUCACAAUGUAUAUUUUGCAGUCAUGGGUAAUCUAUAAAGAUGGAAGUAGCUAUCAUUCACACUGUGAUCUGCAGUUAAAUAUUCUUACGAUGUUCAUAUCAUUUAACCCCAUAAUUUCUUGAUAGGGAUUCUCUUGCAGUUAAUUUCAUUUAAUGAAUGAUAUCUACAUCAAAACCAAAAUAUAGAAUGGAAGUGCUCACAUAUCUAGCAACAAGCUUAAGUGGGCAAGGUAAUCUGAGCUUACAAACUUGGCAUUUUAAGCCAACUCCGAAAACAAAGAUAACAAAGAAAUUGUCUAUGUAAUGUAUAGGCAUGUAAUCCAUACAUAACUAGGAUAAAAUAGUGACUAAAACAGUAUGAAAUUACACAAUAAUAAUAAUAAAUGUAUAUUUUGUUUAAACUAUAUAUAUUGAUACCAAAUUUGAAUUUUCCAAUUAUAAUUAUCUAGAUAACAUAUAGGGAUGGAAUCGCCACAUAAGCAGGAUAAAAUAUGGACUGAAAGACUAUGAAAUCACACUGAAUUGACAUAAAUUUAUAUGUUUGUUUAAAUUAUAUUAGUACCAAAUUUUAAAAUAUCAAAUUAUAAAUGGUUCCAAAUUUAUGUGUUGGACGCUAAAUAAUAUACAAAAUCUACAGAGUUCAAAAUUUAAAAUGUCUAUCAUUCAAAAUAACUACCCCGUGCGAAUGCACGGGUUGGCGACUGGUUAUAAUAAUUACCCAAGAAAAAAUAAGAAUUAUUUCACACUUCCUACUGAAAACAACACAAAAUAAAUACUUGCUCGCUAUUACAGAAUAGUGCUACACAAAUGCCAGUAAGAGAAUACCACGUAACCAUCACCUACCAUUCCCUACACACCCAUCACGUCUCUAGUUAUAUAGUCCUAGUACCACCGAGGUGUGUCAAGCGUCAGUGCCUUGCAUGCAUACAGAGACAUAAACCACAACCCAUGAUGAGGAGGAGCUCAACAUUACAGCCCUUCAUAGGUCACUGGGAAAUGUAAUUAGCCCGAUAAUUGCCAAAUACAAGAGUGCAAGCUUGGGCAAAAAGCCAAAUGGUAGCUUUAAUUUUGGAAGUUCAAAUCCAUAGUUUUACGUUUCAAAAACUUUUGAAAAAUAGACAUAUACCCAAAGACACAUUGUACAUGUGUGCAAAUUUUCAUGAUGAAAUAGGUUAAAAUGAGAGGUAAAUAAAAAAAUUGUGGCUUUUCAGCACAUGUAUUGUUCAUCCUCAAAUUCCAUGAUUUCUUUUGUGCAAAUCACAAUUAAAGAUAUUUCUUCAUGAAAUUUUACACACAUAUACAUUACAUCCUUGUGUCCUUGACCAUAUGCAAAUCCAUGUCCAAUGCAGUGUUACCCAGACUGCAGUGUCAUGUCCAUGCAGGAUUCCACCUUUUACAUGCCCAUGUUGAUAAGGUCCCCAAUAAUAUAUAAGAUCAUGUUGAAUAACCUAUAAGUACACUGUUGAAGCUUCCUAGCUUUGCCGAGAAUACAUUCUCCCCAUUUAAGAAAGAAGUACACAAAAAAUCCUCAAUGAAAAAGGUUGUGUGCAUCACUUGAUGCAGCAGUUGGGGGUGUACCUACCUUUUCAAAAGGGAUUUUCUUUUACCAAAUGGGGGCAGAUUCGGUAUUAGGAGUCAAAUUUGAAUUCAUGUACCGGACCCGGAGUGUUAUGAAUUUUUUGUGUUUCCAAAAUAGUAUUUCUAGAAUGGACACCUAAAUCCGAAAAGGACCGCAACACUAGAAUAUGCGUUGAUACAAUAUAAUCUUCAUUUGUUUUUAAGAAUGUGUUUUUUCACAUUGAUCUAUGCUAAAAGAUACUGACACGUGCCAUGCAGAGGAUGUACUGAGACUGAGCACAGUAUGAAAAAUAGGACAAUUGGACAAAUAUCCCGCCAUGUUCAACACCCUCACGUUUAGUGAAGCCAUGACCCCUCACCCUGCGCCCCCUUCCUUUGCCUAGCCAGCAUACCCUUGGUGUUGAAGUUGUGUCGAAAGAUCCAUUUCUCAAAGAUGGCUUUCACUCAUGUUGGAUGAGGACCCAAAGACCAAGGUCGUUUUGCGACAAAGCAUGAAAUACAUCAAACAUUGCAUGAUGCCAGUUCAGAUCCCAGAUUACUACUUUAUAAGAAGUAAUACACGAAAUGGACAGGAAAAUAUACAUUGAAAAUUUCUUUUUUGGGAUGAAAUAGCCCGAUAUUUCUCAUAGGUACUAUUCAUCUCAUUUGCAUUAUGCAUUGUCUCUACUGGGAUGGAAUUGAGUGCAAAACAGGGUUGAGGUGGCGUGUACGAAGAAGCUGGCAUAGAUCGACAGGAAGAUGCGGUCAACCGCACAAAAGACAAAACGAGCUGGUGUGAUGCGGGAGCCGAGGGUGAUGUUGUCGAGUGCGAAACGAGUGAUGUUGGGCUGAGUCUAGCCAACGUUUUUGGAGGGGAGUGGCGCAUGCAUGUUAGAGUGGGAGGCAAUCCCAGAUUGGAGUGGAUGUGGGUGUCAGACACAGGGGUAUGAGGCAGGUCACAGUCGGAGCUUGAAGUAGACUAGGCGAAAGGGCUCAAGAGGCACAUGAUUCCUUGCGGGAGGCAUGUGUGUAGGUUAGUGUGUGGUAUAAACAUAUGGUAAACAAUGUUAAUAAAAAAAUAACAUGGGAGGACACUAACUUUUUGAGUUUGAAGAUCAAGACACCGAUACCCCUUGUGCAUGAUAUCGCUAGUGGCCCAGAGGAGAUGCCCGACUUUCCAUUUUGAAGGGAGGUGCGGGGCAUACAAUGGAAAGAACUCGGACAUGUAGUCCUCCAGGUCAUAGUUGUGGAAUUUUCCAACGAAAGAACUCGUCUAGGUUACAUGUUAUUGUGUGUCAAAAGAUUAUGCAUAUAUAAUUCACAUGUUCUUGUUUGUGAGAAUAUUUUCACGAUUUUAAAAAGUUUGUGCACGUAUAUCAAAAAUGAAAAGGAAGCAAAGAAACAAACAAAAAAGGAGAGAAAAAAGAAAGCCAAACUUUAAUACAUUGAUAAAUAGAGAAUGAAAUUAAAUAAUAUAGAAUAAUAGAAACCAUAAAACAUAAAUACCAAAGGAAACAAAAGAAAAAGAGGAUCAUAUAUAAUGAAAAUGAAAUAAAUAAAAACGGAACUAGUAUUACCGGGCCUCCGCCUAUACUAGAGAGAGGUCCUGUACGAUGCCCGCGUGCGUCAAACAAUCGCACCUUUGCACCGGCGCGAUACAUCUAGGCGGUCCAUUUAGAAACACUCUAGCUUGCGAUACACUUUAACGUGCCAGUUUUAAAUAGGGUUUCCAAAGUAUUUCUUAAAAUAUGAAUCUUUUCUAAAGUACAUGGCAAAUAUUUUUUAAUGCACGAUGUACUCUUUCUAGAUACACAAUAGUCAUUUUAAAUACAUGACUAAUAAUUUUGAUGCACGAAGAACAUUUUUGAAAUACAUGGUGCAUUAUGGGUACUGGAAGACCAAUUUUCUAGGUAAUGGAAGACCAAUUUCUUAUAACCGGAUGGAUAUUUUUGAAAUAUCAUAUGCAUUUUAAUUUCCUUAGAUGCAUUCUGGAGAUUUGCUAAAAUUAGCUCUGACACUUGACAUUACGAUUCGCUAAAAUUGCUCCACCACCAACUGAGAUGGAACUUUUAAUAAAUUGUUAACAUUUUAAUAAAUUAAGUCAAAACAUGUUUCCAAAUAUAUAAAUCAGGAGAAAUUGUACAUCUUUUUAGACCAGCGAGCUGUACAUAGCCUGCAAACCCGGCUUUAAAACACUAGUGGGAUCAAUUCUUUUAAACACUAGUUUUUUUAGGGGCUUUUAAACACUAGUGGGAUCAGACGGGAUAAUAGGGCAGCCCAUCACGCACAGCAGGCUCGCUAAUUCCCACCCAGAUGCCGAGUGAGCGAUUAGCGAACAAGGUGGGCUGGCCCAAAGAUGAGAUAACUCACGCGCUACAGUUGACGGUUUUGGGAACCUCCUAGAAGAUUGCUGAUUGGUUUUCGGAAGCUUCUAGAAGGUUCCUGAACCAGUUUUAAGUGGUUUUCAGUUUUUUUGUGGUUUUUUAUUUCUUUUUCUCUUUCUCUUUUUCUGUUUCAUUUUUUCCUUCUCCUUUUUCGUAUUUCUCUUUCUUUUUUCAGUUUCUCAAUAUCCUUUGUAAUUCCUUUUCUACUAUUUUUUCUUUCUAUUUUUAUGUUUCAGAAUUUCAAUAUUUGUGUGAAAUUUCAAAAAAUGUUUGUAAUUAGAAAAACAUGUUGCUCUUUUUUAAAAACUUCCAAAAACAUUGGUGAUUUAAAAAAACUAUUCACAUACUUGAAAAAACAUAAGCCUUUUAAACAGACCAUAAUUUCAAAACAUUGUUUCUGUGCCAUUUUUUUCAAAAUUCAUCAAAAUACUUGAUUUUCAAAAAAUGUUCACCUUUCAAAAUAUGUUCCGAUUUUCAAAUUUUGUUCCCAAAUUCAACGAAUGAUAUUAUAUUUGAAUUUUUAAAUUUUGUUCAGAGUUUCAAAUUUUGUUCACAGAUGCAAAGAAUGUUCACUUUAUUCAAAUUUGUCAUGUUUUCAAAAAAUGUUUCAUAAAUUCAAAAAAGGUUCAUGUUUAUAAAUUUAUUCCAAAAAUUGUCCAUUUUUGUCAAAACAAUUGGAAUUGGAAAAAUGUUCCCAUUUUUCAAAAUUUAUUCACAAAUUCAUAUUUCCAUUUUUAAAUUGGGUUACAACUCAAAAAAAUUGGUUGUACUUGUUCAGGUAUUUAAAAUUGUUCAGAUUUUUUUAAAUGUAUUCGGAACUUUCUUUAAUUGUUUGAAAAAAGAUAAAAUAUUUGGAUCUACCGAUAUAGUUAGUUCUAAAGGUUUUUGCUCCGGAUGUUUAAAACUAGCGUUGAUUAGCUCCAUUCCUUAGGUAGCUGUCUCUACUAGCGCCGACUCACGAGUUCAAAUCCUUGCCGAAACAUCCCUUUUUCCGCGUUGUUUUUUUACACCACUGGCUGCAACUGCGUGGGCUGACCAAGGCGAAGACUGCCCUGUGUGAAGCCCCGCCAGUCUGCCGCAUUUUUCUGAGUAGUUUUUUAAACCAUUGGCUGCUCCUGCAUGGGCCGGCCGAGGCCAAGACUGCCCUAUGCGAAGCCCCGUCAGUCUGCUGCAGAAUGCGGCAGAGAUGAGAUCCCUAUAUAUGCUCCCUAUGAAGAUUUGUGAAAACGUGACCGGCGGAAGCUUGCUGGUCGCCCACAUGGAGCCUAAAUGGGACAUGACAAUUACAAAAACAGCUUCAUUUUUUCGUUUCAUUUUUUUAUGAGAAACAUACAAUACUACCAGUUAGUAAACAAAGAAGUAAUAAAAGAUAUUAUUUUUAAAAAUAUUACCCAACCAUAUUAACAAAAUAAACGUUCAUUUACUCCUAAAGAUACUGGUGUACAUUUCUAAAAGUGUACAUGUUUUUUUAGAAAUGUCUGUGUAAUUAAAUAAAUUUUUCAUAUGGUUUAACAUAUUCAUGGAAUGUCAAAGGAGUGUUCAUGCAUUUCAAAAGUAUUCAUGUAAUUAAAAGAGGUCUUCAUGUAUUUUUUCAAAAUAGUCAUAUGCUUUCAUAUAGUGCUCAUGGCCUUUAAAAAUAUAGUCAUGAAACUAUAAAAUUGUUCACGCAUAUUAGAAAAAUGUUCAUGCAAUUGUUUACCUAUUUAAAAAAAUAAUGUAACUUUAAAAAGUGUUCACAUACUUUUUCUAUAAAAUCGUUUGGUUUUAAAAAUGCUCACUUGUUAUUCAACAUAUAUUUAUAUUACUUGUAAAUAAAAAAUAGUUUUUUUCUACAGAAAUGAACAAAGAAAUAAAAGGAAAAAAUAAUACAAAAGGAAAAACAAAAUAAAAGUAAAAUUAAAAUUGAAAAUGGAAAACUGACGACAUAAAAAGAUCAAGGGAAGAAAAAAUGAAGAAAAACUGGCAAAGCCAGAUGAAAAAAAUGGAACAUGCCCAUCCAGUCCUAUGCUGUUGGGCAUUGGCCCACACCAAGUACGAACGUAAGAUUCCUAUGCUAAAUACUGCUAUAAGCGGUAUAUAACAUUUAGGGAAAAACCAUAUAUCUUUUUUGGCAGUGAAGAAGCUACUACAUGCGAGCUUUACUUUGAGCCUAACUACGUGUCAUACUUGGGUGCACAACUUAGCCUUCUUUUGUGAAAUGGUAAGUUGAUUGAAUUUUCUUUAAGAGAGCUAAUCCUCUUUCCAUUAGUUGUUCAACGGAAAUACUACAUGUCUUACAAGUAGCAAAAAAAGGGAACAUGAAAGAGAAUUGUGAGUUGAGAACAUCCUUUGAAGCUUCAGCCCCGAGCAACAUCACAAAGAUGGCAUUCCACAUGGUAAAGCAGGGGGCGCGUUCUGAAGAUGAUGUGUGUCGUUGUGAGGAGUGAGAGGCGGGGAAGGAGCUAGCACCAUUUGUGAGGAGGUAUUUGUUAGCAAUGAUCACAAACUAGAAUGUGGCUUAGCCAGGGACGAAGCCAAGGCAGGGGGGAUACGUACCACUAAAAUUUAGACGGGCCCAAGUAGGAAUUGUUUCUUUUUUACAUAUAUGAUUGAAGGGUAUAUGUAAAAAAAUCAAUCUUAGUGGGCACAAUGACCACGCGCUAAAUGGCACCCUCUCAAAAUGAACCACUCAUUGAUCGACCAUGACUAUUUUUUAGGGACCGAUACCUGGUUUUCUCGAUGGAAUCCUACAUAGGCGGUCUAGGGUUUUUACUACGGCACAACAAUGGACAUCAUGCAUUCUUCUCGAUGGAAAUCUAGAUCUAGUGGUCCUCCUUUUACUUUAAAGAUCAGUGUGUCCACCGAGCGCCACACAUAUGGAGACUAGUGAGUUAAUUGGCUUCUUGCGAUGGAGAGAGGCUUAAUGAACCUAUGGGCUAUAAUUUUUCCUAUGGAAUAUGCAAGUCGUGGCUGGAGCCCAAGGGAAGACAAGAUAUUAGAAUGCUCUAGGAGGGUAAGACCAUAAAGUCCAACAGCCAAAAGCGCACAGCUUGUAAGAGGGUUAGGACGGUGCUCAAUAUUGAUGUCAUCAAAAUAUAUGUGCAAAAUACCAAACCAGCCCACAGGUUUUGCAAAAUCUAGGGGUGGCUUCUCUACCCAACUAGAAACUGAAAUUACAAACACUUCCGUCUAGAAGUGAAAUUACGAUAUACCAACAUCGGAUAUGGCUGCAGUAUAUGGAAGCUUCCUAGUGUUUUUUCCUUGCGAAAAGGGAAGCUUCCUAGUUGAGACCAAACCAUAUAAAGUAGGUUGCAAUGCUUACAUAGGCUCAGCCUUGACGAUCCUGGAACAACCAACGUCAGAUUUGACAAAACCUUUUGUUGUCUCCUUUUCUUUUCCUCGAUCCUUUUUGUUUUUGUUCCUUUUCCUAUCUGGACUAAUAGUUAGGGCGCUGUGAUUGCAAAUAUUGUUAUAGGGCAUAAAUAGGAUGGCACCUGCACUGCACAUACCGGCAUCUUUCCACCAAGUAAAACCAAGUAAAAGGGAAAUGUUUCUUAGAAAAGCUUACAGUCUCCCCACCGAUGACACUAAUAUAGAUUAAUAAAGACCACAUAGUACUAGAUAAACAGAUACUCUAAGUACUAGUACAUUGAUAGAUGGUGCUGCGGCGGUGCGGCCCACCUACUCAGCAGUCCCAAGCCGCUACACAUACAUAAAUACACAGUGCAUCUAGAGUGUCCAUAGUCCAUACACAAAUACAGAAACGGCAGCCACAACCCACAACAUGCACAACGGAUCGAGCUCGCAAGUGUUCAUCAUGCCCGCUGCCGGCCAUGUCCACUACCUUGUCGCGGGAGGCUCCGGAGGAGGCGACGAGCCCAGGUACCCCUGGACCUUCAAGUCCCUGCACGAGGUGGACGCCGUCGUCCCUGCUAUCGCCCGUGGCAGCAAGAGGCCGGCCGCCGUCCCCGGUGGAGCACAGGUAGAGCCCUACGGGUGCCCCAUCUGCUUCCGCGUGUUUGCCACUGCCAAGGCCGUCCAUGGCCACAUGCGCAGCCACACGGACCGCACCUGGCGCGGCAUGGAGCCGCCCCGGCCGCCGCCCCUGGGCGAGAUCCGUUACCCGUACGUGUGCGACCGCUGCAAGAUGCCGUUCCAGACGCGGCAGGCGCUCGGCGGCCACCGCGCCAGCCACAAUGGUAAGAAAGGCUGCUCCUGGCUCGAAAGAGAGGAGCUCGCCGCCGCCGAAGAAGCUCGGAAGCCCGUCGUGUUCAGCGUUGAUCUGAACCUUCCGGCUCCCGAGGCAGAUCAGGAACAGGGGGAGGAGUAGUAGGAGUCAUCAACAGAUCGAUCGAGCAGCUUGCUAGUGUUCUCAGUUGACAGUUGCUGGAGCUGUGCUUGCGUGUGCUAUAUUUGGUGUUUAGCUUCUCCGAUAUUAUAUUCUGCCUUCCUUCUCUUUGACUUUGUGUUUCGAGACUUGGGUUGCAAAUAGCUCUCGAUCGAUCGAUCCCCGCUUAAUAGAUAAAUAAAUGAAGAGUGCAAUUAAGCUGCUAUAUAUAUGUGUGUGUCAGAUUGUGUUUGAUACUUUGAUGCAGCUAGAACUAAUUUUUCAGGUUAUUUCAUGUGAUUCUUUGUUUCUUUAGCUGAUUUGGUGCUGUUUUACUUGAAAUUAGCCGGUCUACCAUUAGAUCUAUAGGUUAACGACCUUGUGUCCAGCUCCAGCAAUUCUGUAUGGUGAAUUAAAUUAUUUAUUAAUGAGUUGCAUUAAUCC
rnacentral:lncRNA from 1 species